UAUAUAUAUAUAAAAUUGAGGUAGAAUACUUUUAUAAGUAUCACCCCCUUGGUGCUAUUAGGUUUUUAUCCCUUGGAUCUACUCCUUGAUUACUAAUAGCUCUUGAAUCAAACACUAUUCCACCUACCACCACCUACCACUAUCAUAUCAACCUCACAUCUCUCCAUCAAAUGGCUCAAAACUCAAAAGCACCACUUUCAUAGUGCUUUUGAAAGUAUUUUAACUCUACUAUAUAUAUAUAUAUAUAUAUNUUACUAAUAAUCUUUGAAUCAAACACUAUUCCACCUACCACCGUCUACCACUAUCAUCUCAACCUCACAUCUCUUCAUCCAAUGGCUCAAAACUCAAAAGCAUCACUUUCAUAGUGCUUUUGAAAGUAUUCUAACUCUACUAUAUAUAUAUAUAUAUAUGGCUAGGGCUACUAUACUUUUAUGUGUAUAAAGUUCUUUUUACUCAUAAAUUUUAGCCGUUGGAUCAAAAAAUGUACGAUUAAGAUAAUAGCUGUAACUUAGAGUUGAGUGGGUAGUUGAUUUAAUAGUAUGAUCUAACGGAUGAAAAUGAUUAAAUGGUUGAUCUAAUGGUUGAAAAUUUAUGAAUAGAAAGGAACCAGGACUCAUAAGAGUAUAGUAGGUGAAAAUCUAUAUGCUUAAGAGAACAACUUAUCUCUCUAGCAAAUUGUAAGGGUCUUAUAAGGGUAUUUGGGUUAAAUUAUAUAAUAUACUAAUAUCAUAUAUAUAUAUAUAUAUAUAUAUAUAUAUUAUCGUAGAUGUUUAAUUAGUACAUAUUGUUUUAGAAUUACUGGUCAAACAGGCCGUGAAAAUGUAAGGAAUUGGAUUUAUGGGUUUGCUUUCUUACUUUUAAAAAAAAGAAAAAAAAAAUUGAGAGAAGACACAGAGAGAAGAAAGAGGGGAAGUGUUUGGAUGCAAGGAGAAAACAAUGAGGCUUACCUACCGAUCCUUCUCCCCUGCAUGUAUAUAGAUCCUUAUUUACAGGUUUUGCUCGCUAAUUAAAGGUUCAGUUGAUGUAAUGUCUUUUUUUUUCUUUUUUCUUUUUUUAAAGAGGGAUAGAUAGUAUGUUAUCCGUUUUAUUUAUUUAUUUAGAAAUUAACUUAAUUUGAAAUGUGAAUCAACUAAGCUUCGAAUUUAGAAACUCGGAUACUAACUAACAAGCUCUUUGCCACUUGCUCUAGAAACGGUCGGUGAUUCAGUUAAUGUAACCCUCAUUGAUUAAGGAUCAAUGAGUUAAACUUCUACUUAACUUGAAAUACUUAUUAAUUUAUUUCGAAGGCAAAUGGCACUCGAAGGAUUCAACCUCACACCGCAUCAAAUACUUACCCAGUCGACAUUAUAAUUAAACAAAAAAUAAAAGAACUUAAUUACUCUUUUCCAUGCGCGGGAGCGUACGUACGUAUACGCACUUUACGUCACAUCAAUCCCGUCCACUGAGUAUCCACGUCAUGCAUGCAUAUAUCUUCGUAUAUGUUCGCCCAAGCUUUAUUUAAGCUUCAUGCAGGUAGUCCCACUUACAUCCUUUCAAAUCACCACGUAUAGCUGACGUUAAUCAUAUCAAUCCAUCACUCCAAGCUUUUAAUCCACAACGUCACAUCGAAAUUCAUAGGCUUAAAGUAUGUCUAUAUAUACUAUAUAAAUAUAACAUAUGGGGCAUCUGUCGCAAACCCCGUAGUCCAUAGCAUGCACGCAUGUACGUACAUCAACAUUAAGCUAGUUUCACAAAAGAAAAAAAAGAAAAAAAAUAAGAAAGGGAAAAAGUUAAAGAGGAGUUCCAUUGACAUUGAUGUAUACAGCAACUGCUACAAGGUCCUGGAUGCAUGGAUUUAAUUAGAAACCAACGGUCCAGAUUCUCCUGUGGCAGUGUAGCCCAGGAGGGGCACGUCAUAAACUGGUGCCCCAGGGCCCGGAAGUGAAAAGCCCAUCUCAUAAACGAAGGGGUUUUGUAUGUACGUUUCGAGCCAAUUAGCAGGGAACAUGGCCUCCUCAUUAGGGUUUAAUAGUGCAUUUGUGUCCUCUUCCUUUGGAGGGCUUUUAGGGAAGGAUGGGAGGAAGGUGGAGGAACAAGCAAAGGAAGGGAGAGGAGGGAGGGGGAAGAGGGGAUUAAUGGGUUCUUGGUUUAGAUGGAAAUAGGGUUGGUGGUGGUUGUGGAGGGUUUGGAGAGGGGUUUCUAGGGUUUGGGGGUCUAGGAAUGGGAGGAUACAAGUACUGGGAGUGGAAGAGGAUGGGUUUAUUGUAUAUGAGGGGUUUGGGUAGUAUUGGUUCUUCUUGUCUCCUCCUGUCUUGUGAAAUAUCCUGCAUAUCACCCAUUCUUCCUGCAAUAUUAAAAAAAAAAAAAAAAAAAAAAAAGGUCCCACACCAAGGAGAUGUUGUUAGUAUACAUUUUACUAUAAAUUGGUAGCAUUGGAUGAACAAUAGCAGAGCAAAAGAGAAAUUCAUUACGUAUCAAUAUUUUUUUUCGAACAAUGUUUUCUGUAGGGAUUGACAUAAUUCAGAAUACGACUGAGUGACAUGACCUAUAUAUAUAUAUUGUUUUAAAGAAGAGAAAUGUCAACUCAAUGCAGGCGGGGUUGAGUUGACUUUUCGUGCCAAAGAAGGAAGUUAGAUCCAAACAUGGUUAGGUUAUAUAUAAGGCACAUCAAUUGAUGCAACAUGAUGGCUUAUAUAUUAAACAUUUAUUUGUAAACAAUUAGAUCAGUAUGGCCAUGAGAUGUUGAAAACAAUAGAACAAAUGGCGCAUAUAUAUUCCCCGUCGCAUAUACACACGAAGAGAGUUCUGCCUACUCGAUCAAUUGGUGCUUAUUCAAGCAUUAGGGACCAUCUUAACUUAAAUACAAAAGAGAGGAUAUAUUAUUCUACGGUUCUUAGUUUAUUUUAAAUUUGCAAAGAGUCUAAUCACGUAACAGUAUGUAGCACGAUGAAAAUUUCAUGGAAUACAUAUAUAUAGCUAUAUCUUCGAGCUAUACAUGGAUGAUAUGCAUAUGGUCUCAUAUUGCGUAACAUCCAGAAGAAUAUAUGUUACGCAAUAUGAGACCAUAUAUAUGGAUAUUACGUAACAUAAAUGCGGUCCGAAUGACGCAUUACAAAUAUAUAUGGAACCAACUAUGCAACGUACAAACAUACCAACAUUAUUACAGGCAAAUGAAGGCCGAUGAUAUGGAACAUAUAAAAUGAUGCAACUGCAAUUAAUAAACUUGAAAAUAAGAGUAAUCAAACACAUUUAUGCCCGUUGGCAAUUAAUAAUGCUAUUUCAUGCUAAGUUGGAAAAAUGUGCAACUUUUAUGGGCUGCAACUGUAAACUAAGAAAAUUUACGCGGAGUACGCAAAAUCUUAGCUUGGGCAAAAAUUGCCAAAAUGUUCAAAAUAAAACCUUAAAGUUUCAGAACAUGCAGCAUGCAAUCGAGUGAAAGAUUACGCACCUUGCAGCGGUGGCGGCAGGCGUAGUCACCUUCGAGACGGUACUCGUGAAGGACCCACUUGGUCUUCUCGCCGCGCGGCGCCCUCCCCUUGUAGAAGACGAGCGUCUUCUUCAUGCCGACAAGGGCCCCAUUGGCGGCGCCGUGUACCUCCCUGUCCUUUCCGGUGGCCUUCCAAUAGCCGGCCCCCGUCGCCCUGUUCGUUCUCAGCCCCGUCGGAUACUUCCGGUCGCGGAGACUGUAGAAGUACCACUCCCUCUCUCCCAUCUUUGCCGCGUCUAAACAAGAAGAUAAGGAGAAAGAAGAAGAGCUGAGAAAUGUGAAACUUGAUGAUAUAGAGAUUGCCGCAAUUUUUAACUCAUGCAUCAUGACUAUACAUGUAACAAAGGGGCACUAGUUUAUUAGUUAGUCAAUUAAUGCAAGGCAACAAACACACUGACUCUCACUACGAUCACCACCCUUCCAGUGUGGAGAGGCAUCAAUGCAGCUUUUGUUUACGUUCGUACGUGAAAGGCCACAAAAUAUAGAAAUAUAAUUUCUUCAGGCCAAAAGAAAGAUUUGGCCCAUCUUUACGGAAAUGAAUGUUAAGAUGAAAAAGUGUUUCGUAUCUUAAUUAAACCAUGGGUGUAAAACGUAUACAAACCUGGGAGCUCCCAUGGCUCACAUCUAUUAAGGUCAACCUCGACUAUAUCCACCCCACAUAAGCCCCCAUUGAACACCUUGGAUGCCAAGUAGAAGGUCACAAGCUCCUCAUCAGUCGGAUGGAACCUAAAUCCAGGAGGUAAUCCCUGCUCAUUGUAAGUUUCCUCUCCAAACAACUCCCACACCAACUCCCCCAUAUUGGUAUGCAUCACUUCCUUUCAGAGAAGAGGAGAAGAAGAAGAAGGAAAAAAAAAAAACAAAACCCAGAAGAGGAGCUUGGUGACACUUGUGAGUUGUGAGAAUGGGGAGGAGGGAUGGAGCUAGGAGGGAAUGUAUAUAAGGCCAAGCACUGAAACCGAAGAAGAGCUUCGUACGUAUAGCUAGGGUGUAGCCUUGCAGAUAUUAGCUCUUGAGUGGGUGUGAGGUUGAAGGCCGGUGAGGGCCUAUUUGGCUCCUCUUUUUUUCGUUUUUUUUUUUUUUUUUUUUUUCACUCCAGCGUCAGUUGUUUCCAAAAUGAUAUUUAGCAUCCUGAAAACUCUUUAUCUUUGCUACGGCGCUCAUAAAGCAAAAUUUUGAUUUUGAGGCCUCAACAUAGAAUCUGAGUUAGAGCUUCUAAUUUUGCUUACCAAAAGUUGUUAGAACGAACUUGAUAUGGAGAUAUAUAUAUAUAUAUAUAUAUAUAUAUAUAUAUAUAUAUAUAUAUAUAUAUAUAUAUAUAUACUGCUUAUAAUAAUACUAGCGAAAUAGUAUUUUACGAAACAGUACUGGAUACACACACCUUAAUUACAUGCAACAGUAUCAAACAGACUCGUUUACAAGAUGUUUCAUUGCUUUGGGCCCAAAGGUACCUGGAAUGGAUCUGAAUAGGAAAGUAGAUAAGCCAGAAAAAGGGCUGCGUGAGGAGUAAAUGCGGAGCUGCUGGGUUCGGAGAUGAAUGCGUGCGUGUGUGAACAAAUUUGAGGCCACCGCCAACCAGUACAUAAAAACAGUGUAGGAUUUCCAUCCAAGGCCAGCUUACCAAUUGUUGCUCCUAUUACUGCACAUCUUUACCAUACUUCAAGUCAAGAAACUAUGUGGUAUUUAUUGUUCCUACAAGAUUGGGUACUAGUCCUUUGGGUUCACCUCCUUGUUUGUUUGUGAGUGGGGGGAAAUUAAUUAAGUACCCUUUGGCAUGCCGCAUGGUAGAUUAUAUAGAAGCGAUGUUGGAGAACAGUUAUCGAUAUUUCUAUGUAUACAGAGGUUUUUUCGUUAUUUGCUGGGUUAUAUUUAUUAACGAGAAAUACUAAGUCUCCAACCCAAAAGGGGUUGGGAUAUAUAAUCGUACUACCCUCCAUCUUCGGAUUGAGCCAACACCUUUAGAUUUUUAGUAUUAAAAAAUAUAUAUUGGAAAAUUUGGUAACACUGAGUGUGGUAAACUUGGAUUUUAGAUGAUCAAAGUUGUAGGAUUACAACCAAAAAUGGCUUAUAAUCCUUGCAUUGCUCUUUAUUCAAAAUCAAGUUGCGAAUUAAUUCACAUGCACUUCAAAUAAAAGUUGUUCGACAAAAGCUGUUUUGGGUCUGGAGAAAUUCAAUUACUUAUCCCUCUUAGUUGAAGUAGAAGCUUCAAAUUAAAAUAAAGCUUGCUUUUUUGGGCCCAUAGAUUCAUAUUAGCUUUUUGUCGUUGAGUUGUAAUACCCAGCCAUAUGUUUUUGAGAUAGAAUACUGUCUCUAAAAAUGGGCCAAAUAGCCGAUAAAUUGAGCACAUUGUUAUUUGUACCCAAAUUUAAAUAUAUAUUAUUAAAUUUUUAAGCCCAGAAAAAUGCCAAUGUCUCAAUUUAACAAUUUUUGGCCAUUCAUAUAUAAUCACCUACCAUGUUAGUGCCCUCGAAAAAAGAAAAGAAAAAACUUGUUGCCAUUCAAACUCGCAUAAAAUCUAUGUCAUUAACUGCACAGUGGAAAGAUAUAUAGUGCAUAGUUAUUUUGUUAAUUAGUUGGAUCAUCAACAAGAGAAAUGCCAAGUUCACAACUAUAAAAAGGGAUUUUGAUCGACCUUAGAACUCAUCCCAGAGCUAGGUAGGAUUUGGUCAAACCAUUUUUAGUUUUUAAUAUUAAAGAAAUAAUGAGCGAUAUGACUAGGAGAAACAGUUGAGCUCAUAAGAUCACGGUGGUGUUGGGGGAUUAAUUAAUUACAAUGCUAGCUUUUCUUGUUGUCAUAGAUCGAAUUAAGAUAACUUCACUGAUAAUUAAUGUGUAAAUUAAGUUAGCACUUGAUGGCCCUUUUCGAUAGAUGGGAGAUAGUUCAUAUAUAGGCAUAUUAUACGACCCAACCCCCGUGAAAAGAAUAAUAUGAAUGCUCUACAAGAUAAUUAACUGUUCAAAACAGUUUACCUACGAAGAGAGCCCUAUAGGAACUGCAGAGCUGGUAUAUAUUUACAACCAAGAAAAUAGAUGUAGUACGCAAAUUCUCAAAAAAUUAGCUUGCUUACUGCUACGAUAAUUGUGAAAAGAAUGACUUUCCAUUUUCAUAAUGUUGCGCGCAAAUCAUAUGCAUUGGAAAUACUAACAAAACGCGUUGUUGAUUCUAGUUAAUAAUCGUACGUAUCGUAGCUAGUAGUAAUUUGUAAUUAAUUACUGAACCAUGAUCAUCAAUAUACUCAACACUGUCCUUCAUAAGAGAUCAAGAGACAUUUUUGAUAGACCAAAUAUAAUUUCCGAGAUAAAUGAGCAAAGGGUUUUCUUUUAAGCACGCAAUGUCUAUAUAUAUAGGUUUUAGUUAGAUAUCGUUAUAAUCUUAAACCUUCUUACUUCAAAGAUUGAUACCGACCAUAUAUCCAUCUUCAUAGGAUAAAACAAAAAGAAAUUUCUCAUGUGUCUGAAAAAAUUGCUCUUGCAAAAUUGCUGCUGAAUAUUGCUAAUAGGAGUAGGGCUGCUGUACUCUUAGGAGAACAGAGGCUUCUGUGCGCUUAAGUCGUUUUUAAUGAUGAAAUUUUAGAAUCGACGAUUGAGUUCAUUAAAUUUGAACUAGAAUAUUUAAAGUAUCUAAACAAUAAAUUUUACGAUUUUUCGAUAUCAUUAAUCUAGUGAUCGAAAGGGUUUAAAAUCAACGGUUGAAAAUCAAUAUCUCAUAAAAAGUGGUCAUAUAACACUCAAAUUUUUUAUCAGAGAUAUUAAUCUUACUGUAAAUAGUAUAAAGAAUUUUCAAUCAAAAUUUAAUUUGAUUUAGAUAAUUCUACACCGUUAAACUUACAAACGAUAGAUACCAACCAUUAAAAAUUAUUGGUUUUGAACUCGUUCGAUCGCUAGAUAAAUAAUAUUAAAAAAUUAUAAAUUUUAUUUUCUAAAUACUCCAAAUAUACUAGAUCUUGUUUAACGGAGCCGAUCGUCGAUUCAAAAAUUUAAUGAUCAAAAUCUGCUUAGGAGAAUGCAUGGAAGUCUCCGUACUCCUAAAAGCAUAGCAGUCCUGCUCUUGCUAAUACUAAUUUAAGAUUCGAACAAAACAAUAUCAAACAAUUACUCAUCUUCACUUGUCAUCUUUAGAACUGAUCGUUUUCUUUUUGAGAAAAAGAAAAAUAGCAUGCUAUCUAUUUUUUUAAAAAAAUAAAUUUAUCUAAAUUUAAUGUGAAAUAAUUAAAAUUUAAAUUUAAAAUUUUGAAUAUUAUCUAUCACUUUUUUUUCCUUUUUUUCCACUUGUGAGGAGGAACAUUUUGAUUGAAUUACCUUUUUAAAAGUACUCUAUGCACGGGGAGGAAUUCUACACUGUCACACUUGCACUACGUCAUUAAUAAUAAGCCAAUCAUAUUUUUUCUUUUUAAAUAAAAGUACAAUAAAUAUAUUUUUUUUACAAUCAUGAUAAAAUAUAUACCUCUAAAAAAAUGCAUUUGAUUGAUUUGUUACGGUGCGUCAAUAUACCAGUUGAGUUAUAGAAUUUUUCCUGCAUGGGCCAUUGCCACCGCUACAUCUUUGUCUCUUCCUUUUCGUACUGCCUAGUGAUUUGACAUAGAGGUAAGUGUACACAAAGCGUCCUAUUACGUCCCCUCUCCCACUUCUAACUCUAUAGAAGACGUGGAGAGACACAAUAGGGGCCAUGCAUGAGCUGCAUAGCGCUAGGAGUUAAAGUAUUUAAUUUAUUACAAAUACACACACAUAUAAAGAGAACUGUGCUACCAUAUAUAUUUUUUUAAAAGUACAGAAAAUGAUUGAUUGUUGUAGCUUUUAAAUUUUUAGAUUACAAAAUUAUAGUUAAAAUAAUAAUAAUUUUCUACAAUUGAGUGAAUGCUUGAUCAAAUACUAUAAUUUAAUAAAUAUAACUAAUAAAAAAAUAUAUUUAACGGUGAAAAAUAUUUAAAUACCAAUUAAGUAUAUAGUAUUUUUAAAAAUAUGAUAAUGGAACUCCCUGUGGGGCAUUUAUUGGGGCCGUUUUAUGGAUAGAAAAGGGAAACUGCUCUCCUCUUGAGUAUGCGGGAGUUUUGCACGAGUUGGGAAAUAAAUUUUCCGUGGUCGUACAGAAUUCCAGCAGCUCCCGCAGUCCUCCCUCCGACAGCAAAUGCCAUUAUUAUAUAAUUAUUAUCAUCAUCAUCUCCAAACCCCCUCCUAAAUUUACCAUAAUACCCCUUCCCAAAUUUGGAGGGGGAUUUCACUCAUCCUAGAUUUGCCCUCCAGCUUUUUNCAGCAAAUGCCAUUAUUAUAUAAUUAUUAUCAUCAUCAUCUCCAAACCCCCUCCUAAAUUUACCAUAAUACCCCUUCCCAAAUUUGGAGGGGGAUUUAAAUCUUUCUAUAUAUAAAAUUAAUAUUUUUCAGCUUUUAAUGUUUUGGCCCUUGUGUAAUGCUCUUUGAGUAGUUCUAUGUUAUUAUAAAAUUUCUCAAAUAAAUUUUACUCACACGCAAUAGAACUGUAAUGAUGGCUAAAAAAUAUUAAUUUUAUAUAUAGAAAGAUUUAAAAACUUUAAAUUAUUUUUUUUUGUUAUAUAAUUAUGAUGAUAACUGACAAUUGUCACCAGAGAAGACAGUUGACACAAUAAUUCUGUACCAUUAGAUGAAAAAAUUUUAAAAGUGUUUUAAAAUUUUUAAAUAUUUCACAAUAUAAAAUAAAAAUUUUUAGCCAUAAAAUUAUCAAAUUAAGACUUAAAACGUUAAUAUUUAAGUAAAUUUUUUAAUAUAUACAAUAAUUACUAACAACAUCGUGGAAAUUAACCUAGCUACACUUUGAGAUCUAGAGCGAGAGGAGAGCAGAGGAAGCAACGUCAGAGAGCUCAUUAAAGGCGCAGCGCUACCUCUAAUUUCGAAAUAUUUAGAAAAAGGAAAAGAAGAAAACGAAAAUGCGUUUUGUGCAGUUCAAUGAAUCAUACACAUGAUUAGACCUUUGGGGUCCACGCAUCUCCUCCAUGAUCUUCUAUCUUCUACUGCUCCCGCUCUAAUUCGUACACGAUAAAUCCGUACGGGAAAAUGAUGUAAUUUGCGAAGAUAACUACGAGAAAAUAAUUUUAAUUAGCAUGCGCUUAAAACAUACUUAAUUAUAUAUCGCUAGUGUGAGCAAGGAACGUAGUAGGGACCGUAGCUUCAGAUUCGUAGGAAAAAUCUCACCUUUAAUAGGCUUUAGCUCAGCAACAGGAAGGCCUAGUCUAGAAGUACGCUGGUGCUGCCAAAUACACCAACUUUUUUUUUUUUUCUGGGAGAGCAUAAAAUGGUUUUAUUUUAAUUUUUCCCAUUUUGAUUCUACAAAAUAAUGAUAAAGCCCAAUAAACAUCAAACUCUUAAACUAUAUAUUAUCUAUACAAUUCUAGCCUAUCAAUAUUAUUUCGAAAACCUUGAUAGGUAUAUAAAAUUAUGUUACUAUACUAUCGAUAGUACCAAAAAUUGAGUUUUCAGACAUUUGAUGAAAGAAUGUGCGGUUAAGGAUGAUAGUAUUUUUUUAAAGUUGAGUUGAUAAUUGGUUGAAUAGUAUAAUACAAUGGAUGAAGACAAUCAAAGAAUGAAUCUAACAAUAAAAAAUUGAUAAAAUUAAAAAUUUAAUACUGUUAAGAGUAUAAUAAUCGGACUGUAGAUAUAUUCUAUAUUAUGAAAAGAUUAUUUACUUAGGCAGAAGCACAGGAGGAGCAUAAGGGCAAAGAGAAUAGAAGAUGGAAAUAAAUGCCAUGUUUUUCCAAAAAAUAACAUAUAUUAUUUAAUAAGGACUAUCUCUCUCUCUCUCUCUCUCUCUCUCUCCAGAGAGAGAUCUCAGCACCCACCCACGUGCGAGCUUACUACGGAGGGGAGGGCGGUGGGGAGCAGGGUACGUGUCCACUCCCUUCGAGGUGACGAGACGCGGCUCGUGCGCACGUGUCAGACCCCUACGUGCUGACGUGGCCGAGCUCCGGUCGAGGAUUGGAGGAGAAGAGUGCUGCUUUUACGUGGGCCCCACCAGACAUGACGUGUCGUUCUCUACUUCUUACAGGCUCCAAGAGUUGAAAAAAAAAAAAAAAAAUCUGUAUUGUACACUUUCACCCUAUUAUUAAAAAUAAAAUAAUUGUAUUUUUUUAAAAAUAUAUAAUAAAAAUAUUUUUUAUAUUUAUGAAGAAAUAGAUAAAUUCAAAACAAAUUAUCUAAUUAAAUCGAAAUAUCAUGUCAUCAAUAUAAUUGGUGUAAUCUAAAAUUUUUUGGUUUCUUAAGAGUGAGUUUUAGGAGGGCAAAUAUCUAAGCCACGGCCGCCCCUCUCCCCCGCUCCCCGAAUCCAACUAACUCCUUUCCCGCCAUAAAUUCUUCAACGGUCCAUUUAUUAAUUGGCUUCCAAGGCCAUCCCUUCUUUUCUUUUCUUUUCUUUUCUUUUCUGUCCUUAUUUUCAUUGCGGCUUUGCAAAAUGCGAAAUGUUCGGUCUAAACAGGUCGUAUAAUAACUAGAAUUUCGUCAGAUUAAGUCCAAAUUAUAGAUAAUCAAAAUUAAGAACCCUUCUUUCUAUCUCUACAAUUUAAAAUAGAGCAAGUUACAUCGGACCUAAAUGCAAGAAAUGAGUAAUAAAUAAUUGUACUAAAGCAGAACCAACAAUUAAUGUUCAUAUAUAUAUAUAUAUAUAUAUAUAUAUAUAUAGUCCGGCUGCUAUGCUAUUGAUAGCACCAAGCACUUGGUGCUAUCAAGUUUUCUGCCGUUAGAUUAAUUCCUUUGAUUAUUUUUAUCCGUUAGAUUAUAUUAUUUAACCAACCACCCACUCAACCUUAGAGGGUCCGCAUCAUUCUAACCGCACAUUUCUUAAUCCAAGGGAUAAAAAAUUAAUAGCACAAAUAAUUUGAUGCUAUUGAUAGUAUUCCAGCCUAGUUCUACACACACAUAUCUUCUAUAAUAUGUUAUUCUACAAUAGGGCUGGAGUAUAAUAUGUUAUUCCACAAUAGGGCUGGAGUGAGUACGUUGGAUCAAAAUAGGGUCUGAAUGAUGUUAGUUUUUGGUUGAGUUUGAUGACGGCCCAGACCAGAGCGGACUUCCCUUUGAAGACGGAAUUAGCUUUGACCUGAUUCGGACAAUUAGAACACAAAUCAAUCCCCUAAUACCAAACCCAGUCUAUCGACUCGGAUUCCAACCAACAUGAUUGUUCAACCAAAUAUCACACCUUACUAUCGAAUGUUUCUUUCCCCCCUCUUCAUCCCAGGUCUAUAUAUAUAUAUAUAUAUAUAUAUAUAAAACAAGGCUGAAAUACUAUCAAUAGCACCAAGCUAUUAGUGCUAUUAAUUUUUUAACCUUUGGAUUGAGAAAUGUAUGGCUAGNAACAAGACUGGAAUACUAUCAAUAGCACCAAGCUAUUAGUGCUAUUAAUUUUUUAACCUUUGGAUUGAGAAAUGUAUGGCUAGGAUGAUGUGGGCCCCAUAGAGUGAGUGGUUGGUUGAAUAAUAUAAUCUAACGGAUAAAAAUAAUCAAAGUGUUAAAUUUAACGGUGGAAAACUCGAUAGCACCAAAUUCUUGGUCCUAUCGAUAGUAUCCAAGCCGGACUCUCUCUCUCUCUCUCUCUCUCUCUCUCUCUCUCUCUAUAUAUAUAUAUAUAUAUAGUUGAGCUAGAAUACUCUCAAAAAUACUAAAAGGGUGGUGUGGUGCUUUUGAGUUUUUAAUCAUUGGAUUGAGAGAUGUAGGGUUGAGAUGAUUGUGAUAGAUGGUGAUAGGUGAUGGUAGGUGGAAUAGUAUUUGAUCCAAUGGGUAUUAGUAAUUGGAAAGUAGAUUCAAGGACUAAAAAUUUAGAAGCAUCAAGAAAUUAGUGCUUUUAAAAAUAUUCUACUCAAUUAUAUAUAUAUAUAAUAUGAUUGGUUUCAUUGGCAGUAUAAUAUAUGAGGAGAAAUACUUUCUAUUAUUAUUAUUAUUUUAAAAAGGAGAAUGAGUGCAGUAGAAAAGAAGAAUAGAUGCUGCAUGUAGCUGGUGUCGUAUACUCUCAUUCAAACGUACGUUUUGAACAGUGUAGGGCUGCGCGAUUUGAUGGGGCUCCUUAUUAACUUAGCAGGACAUAUAUAUAUAUAAAGAGAGAGAGAGAGACAGAGAGAGAGAGAGAGAGAGAGAGAGUGAGUGAGAAAUGCAUGGGGUUUUGGGCUGCAUCUGUAUCCUUUAUGCAUGUCAGAGACUCAGAGUCUCACACUCUCUCUCUCUCUCUCUCUCUCUCUCUCGUGCAUGUGCAGGAAGAAGAAGAGAGUAAGAUACAUCGCGUUUGAGUAAAUUUGUUAUUUGCCAUCAUUUAUUGGAUCGUACACAUCCUAGCGUCUGUCUCUUCCUUCUUUGGCUUCACCUCCAAGUAAAACCCCCACCCCAACACACACACACACACACACACACACACACACUUCAAAUAAAAAAGAAUUAUUUACUGUUUUCCCUUUCUUCUCUGAUCAGAAUGGGAUCAUUGGGAAACUCACGAUUGUUUGCUUCAUUGAGGAUUGAGGUCCAACUAAAAGAGAGAGAGAAAUCGAAUAAAAUCGAUCGUCUCCUCAUAUCGAUUAAUAAUGUACAGCAAAGACAGAGUCCUUUCCACACUUGGGCCGCUGGGCCGUAGUGGUGUUGGCCUCUCAAUUUCUCUCGCUUGCCUGAAAAACCGAGUUCCUCAGCCCCACACCAGGAGUCUGUUUUGUUUUGUCUGUGGCCUCGCUUCUCUCGUUGUUGCGGAUCAGGAUUCAUCCGGUAAACUUUGGCGAUCACCGACUCCCCAAUUCGGGUCCUCACAAAAAUCAAAGUACUGUUCAAAAUUUAGAGCAUUAAUACGAAGAUCUCUAUAUAGCUAGGAAUAACUUUGAGCAAGGUGUUUCCAACAAGUUUUUUUUUUUUUUUUUUUUUUUUUUUGUGGAAAGGAAUGCAUAGAGAAUUGUCUGUACGUUUCAUUGAAUGUAAUAACAAUUAUAUAUAAAGUAUAAAUUAUAACUGUUGGAACUGAGUAAACCCACAUCAAAAAUUGAACCCUCUAGUUACAAAAAAUUGAACCACAUUAGUGCCUCCCUGUGUGAUAUUCGAGCUAAUUCCGAUGAGUGCUUUUGCACGUAUAUAGAUCGAACGAACCUGACCGUCAGACAGAUUUUGGAUAGAAUAAUGGUAUACCAAAACUCUCGACCUGCAAGAGGCGAAGGACGAGGACGUUUCAGGAAGAUGCGACNUUUUUUUUUUUUUUUUUGAAAUGUUUUGCGUUUGGUGUCUCCUAAUUGUUUAAAUUGGUUCGAGAAAUGUUAUUGUAGGCACAGAGCAUUGUUUUGUUCUUUGUCCAAUUUUAGACAAGUGUAACAUACGAUCUUUUUAUAAUUUAGAAAUAACUUUUGCAAAAGAUUAACAAGAUUCUUCUAUGAAAGUUCAUAACCUCUGUGAUUGUCGAGGUGCGAACUAUUCAGACAUUGUAUAUUAUCUCAUACAACCACACUAUCAUUUUUCUUAGAAAGAGUUCCUCUUCCUUUUCUUUUUUUUUUUUUUUUUUUUUUUGUGGAAAGGAAUGCAUAGAGAAUUGUCUGUACGUUUCAUUGAAUGUAAUAACAAUUAUAUAUAAAGUAUAAAUUAUAACUGUUGGAACUGAGUAAACCCACAUCAAAAAUUGAACCCUCUAGUUACAAAAAAUUGAACCACAUUAGUGCCUCCCUGUGUGAUAUUCGAGCUAAUUCCGAUGAGUGCUUUUGCACGUAUAUAGAUCGAACGAACCUGACCGUCAGACAGAUUUUGGAUAGAAUAAUGGUAUACCAAAACUCUCGACCUGCAAGAGGCGAAGGACGAGGACGUUUCAGGAAGAUGCGACCCGGCCCUGAAAAGAGAGGGGAUGGGAAUAUUUCGUCAAUUCUUGGUAGCUUGGCUGCCAGAUUAAUCUUAUAGGCAGCACAAUGUUAGACCCAAAUUCUUAGCCUCUUAGUUUAAUUCUAAACCAAAUUCCCAUAAAACAUCGUCUCUUGUGGUUCAUAAUACUUAACCUACUUUAUACAUAUGAACGAAAGUGUUAAGACGGCACAGGAACCGGAAGUUCCAACUACCAUUCCAGCUACUAAAAGAUUAUAUUAAAUUUGACGAAAAAGUUAUCAUUUCACCAGGCUAAUAUUGAAACAUGCUUUUCCAUUAGAUUCGGCAGAAUGUACGGACUUAAUAGAGGCGUUGCUAUUUUUUUCUUUUUUCGCUUUGAAAAUUUCUUCUUUUAAUUAUUUAUCUUUUGCUCGCAAUCCGGUAGAUUGUUGGACACAAUUGGUAUGAUUAAUCAGUUACUGUCGUCAUUUAAUUAUUUUAGUUGGAUAAUUGUGCUCAAAUUUACUUUCUACUUGUGUGUCCUAUAUAAUUUAACUUCAACUUGGAUAACCAAACUAUUAAUAGUCUUUUUUUUCUUUUUCUUUUUUUUUUGAGAGAUAUAUAGGUAGCACGCUACCCGCUUCGUUUAUUUCAUUUAGAAAUAAAUUUAGUUGGAAAUGUGAAUUAACUAGGAUUCGAAUUUAGAUCUCGAAUACCAACCACCAAACCCUUUGCCACUUACUCUAGGGACGGUCGGUAACUAUUAAUAGUCUUAGUAGUUAGAUAUUCUGAUUCUGACUAUAAAGUCAGGAGUUUGAAUUUCUUUUUUUUUGAUACUUUUAGUUGAUCUCUGUUUCUUUUGCCUCUCUAUUUAAUUUGUGGAAAUAUUUAGGUGGGUCAUGAUCAUCUGUACGUAUUAUAUAGGUGAAUUACAGUUCAAUUCACUUUGGUGCGAAAUCAACAACAAAAGAUUAUCGAAUGUAAGCAACGCAGAAAGGUAAAUGGCAACACAUUUAACAAGGAUGCAUCAACUAAACUCUUUAUUAAUAUAUAUAUAUAUAUAUACUUUUUUUUGUUUUUUCAAGUUUCCCAAAUACUUAUCAAGUAAUGCGGUAUUUUAUUAGUGAACUCGACGACAAUAUAAGAGGACCACAUCUACGCUACAAGCCACAUGCUUACCUCUAACCUCGUUAUAUAUAUGGUGCCCACUAACCAUGUGAUGGAUUUGACACCCUAAUUGCUAAGUAGGGCAUGCAAUUGAUACAUACCUUUCUUUAAAUAACAUCAUAAUUGAAGCAUAUAGAAAUUCGAACUAUAAUUAAUAUAUAUGAAUUAUCACAUCUGCAAGAUGUUAUUUGCUCACCAACUCAAAUAAAAGAAAAGUUCUUUGCACGUAUACAAUUAAGUUUCUUGAGAACGGACGGAGAGUGCAAAACAAUAAAAAGGGUACUACUAGCUAGCUAGAGGGUAUACAAACUAGAGUAGCAAAUUAUUUACCAUAGAAACAAUUACAUCGCUUGGAUCGCUUAAUCAAUUAUAAGCUCGAAAUGAAUACAAAAUAAAUGAGAAAAUAUUUAGAUGAUUACCAGCUGCAGAGAUCGAAUAAUUAUGUUGCAUGCUGGUCCUGGAAAGUACGUAAUAGAUCAGGUCCAGUUUAAUUAAUUUGAGUACUCUUUUACGUACCCUGGGAAUUGAGGCAGCGUAAUUCCAUAUCUUUUUCACACCAUUUGCAUUACAGUAGAAGCCAUGCAUCGGAAGAAGCUUAUUGAAUGAAAGAACGUAUUCAAAAUAUAUAUAUAUAUAUAUAUAUAUAUAUAUAACUAACUCUUGCAGCUAUAUAUAUGUAUAUAAUGUUCUUCAAUUUCCAGCAAUAUAUGUAUAUAUAUUCUCAAUAUUGUUGCCGAUUAUUCUCGAUUCCCGUCGUCGAAAUUCUGCGCGUAACUGAAGGAAUCGUACCUAAAAUUGUGAGUGGUGGGCAACGUGUUCGAGCCGAUGAGCUUCCGAAUCUCUGCGCGCACCUUGUAGAAGAGGUGGCGCCAGCUUCCCCGGCUGUGGCAGCUGAGAAUCGCGGUCUCCUCCUCGUUCAUCUCAAUGUCGCGGGCGAAGGCUUGCCUCCGCGAGAGGAUCCAGCCCAGCCCCCAGUCCCACCACCGCCGCAGCGGCCCGCCGGCGAGCUCUGUGAUGGAGGUCAUCGACUUGGUCCUCCGAAAGGCCCAUUCGGCCGAGGCGGACGAUGUCGGCCGGAUCUUGACGGAGAAAGAGGACAGCCUCUUUCGCAGGCCGAUGAGGUGGUUGUCAUUUUUCUUGUCGCUGGCGUCGUCGUCAUUGUUGUUAUUGACGGUAUCCCUUUGAUGUUUCUGAGAUAUAGGAAGGUCGUCUUUGGAUGUCAUGGCAGGGAAGAACCUGGUUUUCGGCAUGUUCUCGAACAUUGUCGAUCGCCGCAAGCCGACGUCGUCUGAGAGAGAGAGAGAGAGAGAGACCUGAUGAGUAAGACGAGAGAGGAGGAGGAGGCUAAGGGGAGAGAGUGAGAUAGGAGAGGAUAAUUUGCUUCACAGCUUUGGACAGGCUGGUUUUAUUCCUGCAUGGGGUCGAUAGAGCCCAUGAGUAUUCUGGAUUUUUUUUUUUUUUUUUUUUUUGCUCUUUAUGAAAUGCUUUAAUUUAUCCUAGCUAGUAAAGAGGUGUCAUAUAUAUGCUGAUUAAGUAUCAUCGUAUUUGAACGGCAAGGCAAAGUCAGAACAAGAGCAUUUUACUGCUUCCAAAAUAUAUUAUAUUUGCCAAAUAGUUAUUAAUAAUGAAAGUUAAUACUAAGAUUGAUAACAUUCGUUGGUUUAUGAUGAGAAUGAAAGGAGGGGCAAAUUAAAAGAGUGUCCCGAUUCCGAACGUGGGGGUCCAAAUUCACUAGUAGGUUGAGCGGUCGCACUCUCUACAGGUGAUAUAGCAUGCAUCUCUUUCGAUUCUCGGUCAUUGCUUCCUCUUGCCGACACUGCCUCCAAUAAAUGAAAGACGUAUCCAUCUACCUCAUGGUUUAGAACCAUCAUCAGCCCUUGAUUUUUCAAAGAUGUUGUAAAUUAAACAACUGUGAAAAUGGUGGACAAGAACAAUUCUUGGUGAUUACUGGAGACCAGUAAAAAUCUAUCGAUCGUGGAACCAGACCUGUGCUAAAAUAAGGCGCUCCAUUUUUAUUAUAUGCGUACAAAUUGUUGCGAGUAUAGCAUGGAUUUUGCAAAAAAGUUAUUCCUAUGUAUGAUUUGUUAAGUCAUGCAAACAAUAUUACGAAUUUCAAGCACCAUCUUUGUAAGCCACUGAUUGGGCCUCGUUCUUCGCGAACAGCCCAUGGGUCAGAAUAGCCAUUCCACUGUACUGCUCUGGAUCACCUGGAAAGGCCCAGUUCACAUUUCCCCGGAGUCAAUGUUUAUCUGAUUUUCCACAUUACAACACCUUGACUGCGUAACGUAUUUAGAUCCUAUUAACCUGUUCCAAUAAGCCUAUAUUAUUUACUCGAAAUAUUUAUAGUAAUUGAUAAUGCACACCACAAAUGAACGCCUAAUACAUUUGAACAUCAUAGAUAGAACCGCAGAAAUAUAGCCUGAUCUCAGAUUCAGACAAUAAUCGUUCGCGAUUUAAGAACACCAAUUUGCUGCAAUGCAUGCAUUGUUUUACUCAAAAAUAGAGGGAAACUUUUGGCUCAGUUUGAGCAUGAUUGUCAUUAGCAGACAUCGAUGUGACUCAAAGUUGAUAAUCAUUCAUCAUAAUUAUUGAUGGGAAAGUGGCUAAUUCCAGGGAAUCCAAUAAAUGGAACAAAAUGUAGCCCUCGAGGACCAUCUACAUACCAUUCUUCAAAUUAAAGUCCCACAGCUCUUCGACUACAAUUUAAAACGUAAAUAGAAAAAUCACAUUAACUACAUUCACUGACAAAAGUGCAUGGUAAUGACCAUAAUAAUAGUUCCUGGAAUUGCUAAAAUUAUUAUGUUACAAAGAAAAUCAACUGAAAGACGGUGCAAUGAAUGAAAUAAAUGGUUUCCAAUUUUUCGGUUGUUAAUUGCCGGAGAAGUUAAUGGUACACCUCAAACAAGUUCAAAUAUACCAGAGAUGCAAUGAACAAACAGGCCUCGGUAGCCUGGAGCGGAGAUUUGGAUUAGUUUACACACAACAUCAAGGAAAAAUUAGAAUCACCACGCUGGUGAUCAGCUUUACAUUAGUCUCAAUAGUAGUUAUGCUUCUUGAUCAUGCCGUCGAUCAACGUCACCUGCAAUUUAGUUUGAACCUAACACUGUGAACAGAAGCGAAGCUCACAGAAAGAAAAAGAUCACUAAUGCCAAAACUAAUAGCAGGAUUUUGCAUACAUACACUGGCAAAAUCAUCUAUUUAAACAUACGCCUCUGUAAAAUCUGCAAAGCUUUGUCCUCCUCUAGCAUUCUUCACAGGGAUAAGGAGGUUUUCAACUAAAAAGGAGGACUUUUAAGGAUGGGUAUCCUGCAAAACAGGGUUCCUUCAAAGGGAAAUUAGGAAAAUCCAGAUUUUGCAGGGAUAUCUUUGCAGAUAGACGAUUGUGUGGGAAUAUAGAAUAUGCAAGUAUCUCAAUUAACAACACAGGUGAGAAGUUUGAAACUACAGAUAAAAAGUUUACCUGAUGAAUUUUGCAAGCAUAAAUCAGGUUAUGUUAUCCAAUCGGUCAUGCUUUCUCUUGUUAGGCCUUGAGAAAAAGCAAAACUGAGCCCAACUCUUCUUAGACUUUAUUGGCUGUAACUUGGUAUCUCUCUUAGCAACGAGUUCAGUCAUGUACUGAACAACAGCCUGCAGAACAGGCACAUUACAUUAAUUAUCGAGUUAGAUAAUAGAUAAAACACAAAAAACUUCCCCAAGAAAGAACAAAUCAAAUUACCUGAGCACCCAUUUCAGCUAUAUGUCUUGGUGGUACCUCCAAAGGGUUCUCUUCUGCACGAAGAAUGCGGAGCCUCAAUAACAUUCGAAAAGAGUCUGGAAGAACCCUAAUCUGAUUGUUGCUUAUAUCCAACUCUUCUAGCAUCUCGAGAUUGCCUAUCGAGCGCGGAAGAGAUUGCAAAUCGGCGAAAUUAUUCCCCAAAUUUAGCUUGACUAGUGUGGUGACGAGGCAUAAGCUCUCAGGCACCGAUUCAAGUUCAUUAAAGCUCACAUCAAUCUCCUUUAAUUUUGGCAGAGAAGCCAUCGUUGUUGGAAGCCCUUUGAUAUUGUUGUAUCGAACAGAUAAAAUCUCGAGAGAUUCGAGCUUUCCAAUAGCUUCUGGAAGGGCUUUCAAGCGAUUAUAAUCGGCUCGAAGCUCAACUAGAGAAGCACAAUGGCCAAUAGUAUGCGGGAGUUCCUCAAUAUCAUUUGUUUCAAUGUUUAGCUUCUUCAAUCGAAUAAGAUUCCCAAUAGAAUCAGGAAGUGAGAGGAGCUGGUUUGAGCUCAGGUCAACUUCUUCGAGCUGGACUAAUUUUCCAAAUGUGGAAGGCAAUAAAGAUAACUGAUUCCCCCUCAGAUCCAAAUAAAGCAAGUUAUGAAGAUCUCCUAUAGUAUCAGGGAGUUGAACAAUCCGAUUCGAGUGAAGGUCCAGUUUGGUUAAAGAGGAAAGAGAACCGAUAGUGGUUGGUAGAACAACAAUCCUAUUUUCCGAUAGAUCAAGAGAGAUAAGAUUAGAAAGCUUCCCUAGUGAGUCGGGCAACCAGUCGAUUUGGUCCAUCAGCUUGUUCUGAAGGUUGAGAUCCCUCGUGCCUUUCUUCGCAGAGACCUCGAUCAAGCUAGCUAGCUUGAUAAGGCUCAGCUUCUCGCGAUCUUCUCCUACAUAACAAGUUACAUUCAGUUCAUAAAUUGCAUAAGCUGGUAGAUUAAGAAUUCUAACUAACGCAAAAUACAACUUAUUCAUCAAAGAAGCUAAUUUAGAGCUGAUGGGUGAAUAAUUUGCUACAGACUCACCAGAAGUAGCAUCUGUUCGGAUUGUAGAAUUCAUCGACGAGAUCCCAUGCGAAGCAUGGGACUCGCUAGCGAUGCCAUCUGCACACAUUACGGACUUCGCCUUCUUCACAUAGCUAUCAUCCCUCGCAACACGAUCGGAGCUCCUCGCGACCUCUUUCUCAGUAUGAAAAACAGGCGAAACAGUACUGGAAGAACCCACAUCACUCUUCACUCCAGCCGCCGCCGCCGUGACGGCCACAUUACUAGAACUGGAAGGAAGACAAUUGGAUGCUCUCUGAAUCAUUUCGUCGAACAGGACGUGGAUGUUCUCGAGAUCGAGCAAUUUAAGCGCCUCCCUCUUCUGCUCUCUGCUGUUGAAGUAGACGAGAUUCUUCUGCAUCUCCAAGAGCACAAAGAAGAGCUCGUCGGGGAUCCCGGGGCCUUUGCUCUGUCUCGAAAGCGAUUCAACCCGGGCCGCCUCCUCCUUGUCCACAUGGCGCACCAACGAAGCGGCGGCUUCGAUCUCUUCGAUGGUGGGCCGCGGCGGGAGGGAGCGGUGGAGCCGCAUGAUCUCCUCCACCACGGCGUCGACGGAGCGGAGAAGAGGACCCAUUUCUCGCAAUCGGGAAAUAAUGGAGCACAAGUAGAGAAGAAGAAAAAGGGACGAGGAAAAGGAAAAGCUCGAAGCUCACGGAUUCUGGAGAAGAGAAACCCACAUCAGAAAACAGCUUCCCAACUAAAUGUCACGAGCUGCAACGCUGCUUUUCUCGAAGGAUCUUCGGAUAAGGAGGAGGAGGAGGAAAGGAGGAUGGGAACACAACGCAUCGUCUCCUCCAUAGAAAAAAGAAAAAAAAAAUCUCGAAUCUUUGAGCCAAAAUUUUUUAACAAAGAAGCGAACACAACGGUUAGGAAUACGAAUGCGACAAACCCAGAAGCGUCUCAGGGGAAAUCCAUGAAUUCUACCUAAAAUUCUCGCUUUUUUCUACAAAAAGGGAGAAGAAAUAAGAAGCAAAAAGCGAAGAGAGGGAGCGAAAUCCACAAGGUCCCAAAUUUACCAUCAAAACAACACGCACAUAAUUGGACAAAAAGAUCCAACUUUUCGCAUCAAUCUCCCACGAAUUGCGAAAAUCCCAAACGAAGAGGCCAAUUGAGGAGUGUUCUCAAGCAACUAAGAAGGAGAGAGAGAGAGAGAGAGAGAGAGAGAGAGAGAGAGAGAGAGAGAGGGGCAACAUGGGAGGCAAACGCAAAUCAGUUGUAGGUGGACCCUCCGGUGUCAUGGAUCCAGCAACAUGCCACAGUGGCUUCCAGGGGCCAUCAUUUAUUAUUCACUUUCAAUCUUAUCCCCUGCUUUUUAAGGUUCUCUCUCUCUCUCUCUCUCUCUCUCUCUCUCUCUCUCUCUCUCUAUUCCCUACACUACACUAGUGUAAGAGAAGAAGCCUAAUUAAUAUGGGGCUAAGUCUAAGCCCAAGCCUUUCACGUGCCUAUCUAUGCCAACCACAUUGUCGCACAAGCCACAUUUCAUCGCCAAAAUAAUUUUUUCUUUUCUAUUUUUUAUAUUGAAACCACUUUAAUCAAUUAUCUAGAAAUAAUACGGCAAAAAUAAACUAAAAAGAAAACUUGCAGUAUAUAAUUUUGUCGCCAAUAAUAAUCAAUAGCAUGACCGCAUGGGUGUUAUUUUUCUUUUGUCUCCUCCAGUCAAUCAAUAUAAUUAGAGCAUUAUGUUAGGGUUAUACAAUUUUUAAAAGGUGCAAAUUGUGACCUCCUGGUUCCUUUUUCUAAUUCCCACAAUUUUUUAGUGAAAAUUAUUAAUUAAGAAAAAGGCCGCAUGCGACUUUAGCCAACAGGAAAACGAGUUGAGGAGAAUUGACCAAGCAACUUUAAGUUAUUUAUUUCUCAGUUUAUGUUAAAAAAAUAAGGUGAAAUGUUCUGGAUAAUAUUAAAAUAGAGUUUAGGACAAAUUAUUGAUUUAUUCAUGUGUGUGUGUAUAUAUAUAUAUAAUAUAGAAUUAUUAUACUUUCGAAAAUAUAAAAGAAUUGAACUUUUAACUUUUUAGUUUUUGCAUUAAGAAUUGUAUGAUUGAAAUGAUAGUAAUUUCUAUUAAAGUUUAGUGGUUCAUUUAGAAUUUAAUGAUUUUUAUAGAAAAGUAAUAUUAAUUCAAGAGCUAAAAAUGACUAAAAGUUGAUCCAAAAUUUAAAAAUUUGAUAAUAACAACUCCUAUAUAUAUAUAUAUAUAUAUAUUAGGCCUAGCCUAUAGAGACAUAGAGACAUUCCUUUUGGGGUAAAUUGUAUGAGUAGUUCAUGUACUAUGAAAUACUUUAGUCUAUGAACUUUUUGCCUAAUAAAUGAUUUAGUCCUUAAUUCUUUUCUCAUAAAACGACUAAAUACCGGCCGUCGCCCUUUUCCUGUAUAAUGAAAAGCAUACCGGCCACCACCCUUUUCCUAUAUAAUAAUGGAAAGCAUUAUAUAGGAUUUUUAAAUUGAAGUUGAUAAAUAAAAUCUUAUUAGUUAAUAGAGAGAGCCUCGACUUGACUCUCGAGUCUCGAGUGAUAGAACAAACAGGUAACAGUUGCUAGUCUCUGGCCUUCUCCAUUGCUUAAACAGUUGCUAGCAUUAUAGAACGGUUCUUUUUGCCUGAACACUGGCCACCACAUAAUGACGUGUUUGAUAAUCUUUUUUAGACCGUUUGAUUGCACGUAGUUAUAAUUAUACUGCAGUUAUAAUUAUAUAUAAAUACAAAUUUAAUAUUUAAUUUAAUGUAUUUAAUUCAAACUAUUAAAAUAAAAAAUGUAGAAAGAGGCCCAAUUAAAGUAAUUCGAACUAUAUCCAAAUUGAUCGUAGUUCCAACUACAGCAGUUAGAGAAAGUAACUUUAAAUAAAAAAUAUGCUUAUCUCCUCAAUAUUUUUUAAAUAAAUUUUUUCUUCACUUUGAAAAUAAUCUCACCAUCAUAUAUAUAUAUAUAUAUAUAUAUAUAUAUAUAUAUUAAAGGCUGGUAUACUAUCGGUAGCACGGAGGCCUCGUGCUACCGAGUUGUUUUCAAUGAUGCGGUUUCCAAAUCGACGAUCGGCUCCGUUAGACUUGAUCUAUACUAUUAAAAAUAUUUGAAAACUAAAUUUCAUAAUUUUUCGACAUCAUUUGGCUAUUGAUCAAAAGCUCAAAAUUGAUAAUUUUAAUGGUAGAUGUGAUGCAUUUGUAAGUUUAACGGUGUAAAACAAUCCAAAUCAGAUGAAAAUUUUAUGAAAAUUAUUUUUACUAUUUAGAGUAAGUUCAGUACCUCUGAUCUUAAAUUAAGUCUUCUAUCAUCGUUUUUUAUGAGUUUUAUUUUCAGCCGUUCAUUUUUAGACUACUCGUUUGAUAGGUAAAUGAUACCGAAAAUUAUGAAUUUAAUUUCCAAAUACUUUCAAUAGUGUAAUCAAGUCUAACGGAGCCGAUCGUCGAUUUGGAAUCGGCACAUUGAAAACAACUUGAUAGCACGGAGGCCUCGGUGCUACGAUAGUAUACCAGCCUAGCUCUAUAUAUAUAUAUAUAUAUAUAUAAAAUAUUAUAUAUAUAUAUAUAUAUAUAUAUAUAUAUAUAUAUAUAAUGAUAAAAUUUUAAAAAUUAUUUUUCAGCUACUGCAACUAAAUAAAUUAUUUAUACUUACAACAUUUUUUACUAUAUCCAACCAAAUAAGAUUCAUAUAAUUAUAACUGCUAUAUUUUUAACUGCAUGCUCGGAGGGUGAUGUCGAAAAAGGUACCAUUAGGUUCACUGUACUCUUGAGUUCACUGUAUUUUUUACUAUAUAUCCCAUUAUAACUGAUGUAUUUUCCGUACAUUAAGCAGGGACAUCCUGAGGGAUAACAAGAAAACACAAUUUAUACACCUCCAAAAAAAAUUUAUUAUGUGCACUACAUCCAUCCAAAAUAAAAUAAACUUUACUAAUCACGUAUAUGUGAUUAGAAAAAAAAAUUAUUCUAUAAUAAAUGGGAUAUAUAUCAUACGGAAAAUAUAUAAAAAUAUAUGCUCGGGAUUCCAUAUGUGGUUCCCACAUAAGAAUACAUGAUUCCGAAUACCAGUGGCCAGGUUUUCACCUGCUUGCACUCACGACUUGCGCCUCCCACUUAAUUGUAAACACUAAACAGACACGCCGUAAGCCAUGGAGCGCAUAUCACACCCCCCCCUUCAACCCAUCUUUUCUUUUAAUCUUUACCGACUGUUGAGUUAAAAACUUAUACCUUAUUUACUUUUUUGUCCUCAAGAAAAGUUAUUUGAUGGUUAGAGUUGAAAGAAUGAGAUCAAAUGAAAGGUGGGAUGGUCUUUAAAUUGUUAUUAUGACUAUGUUUUCUUGUAGGAGAAAGAUCGAAAUAGCAGUAAUUUACUCAGAAAUAUCGAAGCUCGGAUCAAACAAAUAUCAGGACGUUCCAUUUUGAUGCACUGCUAUUUUUUCCUGUACAAACGAUUGCCAACAUUCUAAUACAAUUUGAGUGAGAAACCAAUAAAGCUUUUGUAAAUAUAGAUUCUACAAAUUGUAGCCCUUACCUCUCAUUUCGGUGCCGCUGAAAUCAGUUAACAUCUCAUAUCAUUUCUUCGCCUUAGAGAAGCGGAGGCAACGGUAUUUCUCCCCGCUGACGGUGAUCUCAAGAGCUCCGUCCUGGUUGUCCUGAUUCGAUGCAGUUCCCAUGAGUACGCUCUUCUCUUUCUCUAAAUUCUCCCUCUCCAUCUUCAGCCUCACCUCUUGUCGAGCAAUUUCAGCCUGCAGAAAAAAAAAAAAAAAAGUUAAGAGAAGGAAGAAGUCGGUAAGUGUAUUGUUUUAUGCUUUCACACUUCGACAUUAGCUAUCGUAUAUUCUGCUGUUUAUGUCCUUACAUAAUUCUUAACAACAAACCCAAGAAGAAUUGCUUCAAAUAAUGAGUUGUGCGUCCUUGCCACAGCACUAGUCUUACAAUUGUAAGGGUAAACCCAGUUUUCACAAUCGAUACGAUCUUUUCAACGCAGCAAUAGACUUCCAAUAUAAUGGACAACAAAAUUCCUGUCUGAGACCUAAACGAUCCUACCUAAGCUUGAAAACUUGUUAAGAUAUUGAGAAAGAUGUGUUGGCCGUAUAUUACAAAGAUAUAAAUACAGUGGACAUUCAAAAAUAUAUAAAAACACAUGUUGCCAUGGAAAUUUGCCACCGGUGCAUAAUUUCUUCUUUUUAAGUUAAAUUGAAUUCCAGAACUAGAGGAAGACGAGAAGGUUAAGUAAAAAACUAGAAAUAAAAACUUCUUACAUGUACUCUCUACUUAGCCUAGAACAGCAAACUCAGCGCAGAUUACCUAGCCUAGAAGGGUCUUUAGCUUGAAAAUAAAUCUCAAACCAAUAUGAUAUUAUGAUGUUAAGACCCUUACAAGGGCCCAAAAAAUGACAAUUAAAACUAUAUGGGCAGCAUGCCGUAUGUAAACAAUUGACAAAACUAUCCAAAAGGAACCCCGGCUGAAAUUCCCAUUUCGAACAAUUUUCAUGUUUCUUUUAAUUCAAGCAGCUGGUGAGCACCUAACUCUGCUAGUAAGGAAGCAGGGAACUUUCGCUAACAGCACGCAAGCAGACCUGCAGUCAUUAACUACAUUGAGCAUGCAGGGCGAAAUUCGCCGAUAUCCUUUCUGAUUAUUCCCUUUUUUCACUUGGUUCACCUCAAAUCCAAUUACCCAGGUCAUAUUCCUUGCUCAGUGCAAUGAAGAAAAGGACUUUGGAACUCUGAAAGCAACUUCAUAAGAUUCAAAAGGUGAGCAUGCCGAUUUUAUUUUAUUUUUUUCAAAAAAAAAAAACACAUUAUAGGCGAUUCACACUGACAAUAAAGAAGAAGAAAAGAGCACUUCUUUCUCCUUCAAUAAAUAAAUAACGGACAAUAAUCUGAGAGCUCUCUGGCGAGAGGGGAACUUAAUCAGUGCAUCUUCCUUUCAGAAACUAAAAUCAAGACCUAAAACAAUACAAUCAAUCGCCUCACAUAUUGUGAAUAGAACUCUGCGUAAUGCCAACAAGAGCAACAAGGUUCAACAACCACACACACGUAGAUUCAGCAAGAACUCUGUGGUUUGGUUGAUGAGUAAAGGAGUUUCUUUUUACUCUCUUUUUUUUAAAUAAAAAUAAUAAAAAUAAUAAUAAUUUGUGACGGUACCUCGCGGCGGGAGAGCUCGGCUUUCCAAGCGGCCUCGCGCUCGGCGACCUCGCGCUCGCGCUCCUCGAUGUAGCUCUGCAUCUCCCGCUCCUUCAUGAUGCGGUCCUGUAUGUCCGCGUCCAAGGCCUCCUUCAACUCCUUCACGAACCUAUCCACCACCGCCUUUAUCCGCAGCGACAUGUUAUGAUGCCCUAACGGGGCCCCUCCACCCCGCGAAACCCUAGCGAUGCUCCUCCUCCUCCUCCUCCUCCUCCUCCUCGAUCGCUAUUCCUUAGUUUUCCACCGCUUUCCCGCGGAGAUCGCCGGGGUUCGCCGCCGCCGCCGCCGUAGAGGGAUUCUAGGGUUUGGAGGAAUCGUGUGGAAGAAGAAGAGAUAGAGGGGAUUAGGGAAGGACGGGGUAAGUUUCUACAGAGAAGCUGUUUGGAUUUGGCCUUUUGGGGAGGAGAGGUCGGAGGAGAGAGUGGAUGGGGGUCGUCUAACAUAGAUGAUAUGCUGCGUCUAAUCAAAAUUUGAUCUAGUUUUGAUUUAGAUCAUACGAUCACCAUCAAAAGACGCAAAUUUAUCAGAGGCUGUUUUGUUGAAAUUUAUUUAAAUUAUUAUUAUUAGGCCGUUUAGAUUGUUUUCCCAAAAAUCAGGGAUGAAACCGGUUCGGUGAAAUGAAGAGGAGUCUUAAGUUGUGAACGAAUCAACUCAGCCAUUUCGAUUAAGUUUGAAAAAACUGGAAACUAAAACCAGAAACCGAAAAAUUUAAAAUUUUCGCAAAUGAAAUUUACGGGCUCGCGUUGGUGUAGUAUUCUCACAUACACUCCAUCUCUUGCAACAAAUAGAAACCACUAAUUCCAAAGAAGUAUUAAGCUGAAUUCGAAGAUUCGAAGAUCCUUCCUUCCUGCAAACAGAGCGCUAGCUAGAAGAAAAAAAAAAACAAAAAGGGUAAAAAGAGAGAGAGAUUGAGCAUUGCAAUAGAAUAGAUUGUGACAUUCUUUGUCUUAUCAUUGAGCUAAAAAACAUUUUGGUCCAAUCGACAAAAGGGUCCCACCAGCUUAGUACCAAACGGAGAGAGCUUUUCCUUAUUCGGGUCUCACCAGAUAGGCAUUGCAUGGCCCGUUAUUAAUAAGCCUAUUUAUCAUUGCGGUUCUGAGUUGCUCCAACCGACAUUGGGCUCCAGCUUAAGUUAGAGCACACUCGUUUGAAAACGUAUCGAUAACUUCUUCUUUUUUUUUUUUUUUCGGUUGACAUUUAUUGAACUCUCUGACUAUAGAUUAAAUUGCAAUAAUUUUAUCAGCUGGAAAUAAUAUUUUUCCUCUGUUUUACCUUUAAAAACCUCCAAAAGCUGCAGAUUUAUGGUCGUCAUUUUUUUCUUCUUUUAAGUCCAAAGCUGAUGUCAGAAUAAUUUUUUUUUAAAAAAAUGCAGCAAAAAAGCAAAAUUUAUUUAAAUUUUUUGUUGUAAAAAAAUAUUUUAGAAGCCACGAAAACAGUUUUGGUGAACCUCUCCUAUUUUUGCUACUCCUUAAGCAUACAAGGAACUCAGCUACAAAAGACCGUAUGUUUAUUGCAAAUUAGAUACAUCCUUGCACAUAUGGUACACAAAAAAUAGUUCUCAUGCCACAUCAAUGAUAGUAAUCAUAUAUUUCGUGACUUAAACUUAUUCAAAAAAUUAGGUCCAAUAGCUUUUAGAUCCUAUUCGAAAGUAUAAAUAUUUUUUUCGACAUAUUUUUUAUUUAAUUAAAAAAUUUAUAUAUUUGUUAGAUAAAAGUGUGAUGAAAUGUCUAAAAUUGAAUAUUACAUUCAGUAUUCAAAUUAUUUUUUAGAAUAAAAUAAAUUGCUCAAUCAAUAAAAUAUAUUAUUCUAUCAAAUUAUGAGUAUUAAAAUUUUUAAAAAAAUUAAAAUUAAAAUUCUUUCUUACAAACACACUAAAAAAUUUUUAUACAAAUAGAUUAUAAUAGUGCAUAAACAAAGCCUUAAUAAAUUUGUUAUUGGGCUAAUCUCCUCGCCUCCGAGUAAACAAUGCAAUGUCAUCUCUUCCCUGCCUAUCCGGUUUUUGGGUUAACUUCAAAUACCACUCUUUAUGAUUUUUUACUUUCUUACUUUAGAAUUAUGUGAUUUAAAGUAUAUCAAGUUAGUGUCCUAUGAUUUAUUUUUUUUUCGUCAGUUUAUUCGUUAAUAUUUCGUUAAAUAAUAUACAAAAAAUUUCAGAUAUCUUAUUUAUAUUUAUCGAAUACUUACUUUAGUAUCUUUUUGUUUUAAUUUUGUCAUUGAUUUAACAAAAAAAAAUUAGUAGAAAUAAUAAUAAAAAAUAAAAAUAAACUAUGUGGUACUAAUUGAUAUAUUUUAAAUUAUAACAUACUAUAGUGUAAAAUCACGUGAGUGGUCUAGAAAGUUUUUCCUUGUUUUUUAAGUGCUCUAUUUUUGUCGUAAUCAUUCAGCAUUGUUUCCCUAUUUCAUCAGUCGAUUUUAUGAGAACUCUCUCCAAAUCCAUCACUCUCAAGCCUCUUCUUGUUCUUCUUCCUCGUCGUCUCCCUCCUCUCUGCUACACGUCCUCUUCCUCCCUUGACCCAGAAACCCUAGCCCUAAUCCCAAGUCACCCCUUCCUUGAGUCCUUCUCCCGCCUCUGCCUCCGCGGUCCCCUCGCCGACGCCGUCGCCGCCCUACCCAUCCUCGACUCCCUCGGCCUCCGCGCCGACCCCCUCUCCUACUCGGAUCUCAUCAAGCUCUGCCUCCGCCAUGGCUCACCCGACCACGCUCGCCUCCUCCACCGCCACCUCUUCUCCUCCCACGCCAAUCACCGCCCACAGCUCUUCCUUUCCAACUCCCUCAUCUCAAUGUACGUCAAGUUCGGGCUAUUGGAGGAUGCCCGUGACCUGUUCGACCAAAUGCCCCAGAGAAACGUUGUCUCCUGGACGACCAUGAUCUCGGCUCUUGCCAAUCUCAAAGAAAAGGAGGAAGCUUUGAGGCUCUUUAUUCGGAUGCAGAGGGAUGGGAUAAGCCCCAAUAUGUACACCUUUUCUUCCGUUCUUAGGACCUGCAACACGCCGAGCACUCUAUGGUCCAUCCACUCCUGCAUUAUUAAGCACGGGUUGGACUCUGACGUGUUUGUGCGUAGCUCCCUCAUCGAUAUCUACUCAAAGCUCGGUGAUUUGGAAUAUGGUUAUCGGGUUUUUGGUGAGAUGGUCACACACGACUUGGUGGUGUGGAAUUCUAUCAUCGGCUGCUUCGCGCAGAGUGGAGAAGGCUUUAAAGCUUUAGAACUCUUCGCGGAGAUGAAGAAAGCCGGGUUUUUGGCAAAUCAGGGCACUUUAACCAGCGUUCUCAGGGCAUGUACUGGGAUGGUUUUGUUGGAAAUGGGGAGGCAGGUGCAUGUUCAUGUAUUAAAGUAUGAAAGUGACUUGAUUCUAAACAAUGCCCUUCUUGAUAUGUACUGUAAGUGUGGAAGCUUAGAGGAUGCACGCGGCUUGUUCGAUAGAAUGUUAGAACGGGAUGUGAUCUCAUGGAGUACAAUGAUUUCAGGAUUGGCUCAAAAUGGGAGAAGCAUUGAAGCAUUAAAACUCUUUGAAUCGAUGAAAUUGUUGGGCGUGAAACCGAAUCAUAUCACAAUACUGGGAGUUCUAUUUGCUUGUAGCCAUGCAGGUCUAGUUGAAGAUGGGUGGUACUGCUUUAAUUCAAUGGAGAAGCUUUUUGGUGUUGUGCCUGGAAGAGAGCAUUAUGGUUGCAUGGUCGAUCUCCUUUGUAGAGCAGGAAAACUCAAAGAAGCUGUUAAGUUUAUUCAAGAACUGAAGUUUGAGCCCGAUCUGGUAAUAUGGAGAACAGUCCUCGGAGCUUGUAGAGUUCAUAGAAAUAUAAAUCUAGCAACAUAUGUAGCAAAGGAGAUCCAUAAAUUAGAACCUGAAGAUGAAGGGACUUAUAUCCUAUUAUCAAAUAUUUAUGCGAAUUCUCGCCGAUGGGGAGAUGUUGAAUUGGUGAGAGAAGCCAUGAAAGAUAAAGGAGUAACAAAAGAGCCUGGAAGGAGUUGGAUCGAACUAGGUAAAGAGAUCCAUGUGUUCAUUGUAGGGGACUUAUCGCACCCACAGUCAGAUAGAAUAGUUAAAGAGUUGAGUCGAUUGAUUAGUCGGAUAAGUAAUAUAGGUUACGUACCAGAUAUAGAGUUUGUAUUGCAGGAUCUAGGAAGAGAGCAAAAAGAAGAAUCAUUGAGGUAUCACAGCGAGAAGCUUGCAGUUGCAUUUGGGAUGUUGAACUCAACCGAGGGAAAGCCCAUUAGGAUAAUGAAGAAUUUAAGGAUCUGCGGGGAUUGCCACACUUUUGCAAAGCUCAUUUCCAAAGCUGAGGAGAAGCUUAUUGUAAUUAGGGACCCUGUUCGAUUCCACUAUUUUAAGGAUGGAUUUUGUUCAUGUGGAGACUACUGGUAGUUUUGCUUGAAUGACGAGUUUGAUGACGACAUCAUUUGGAUUAGCCAUGGUGAAAAGUGCAUUGAGAAGAGCAUAUGCGGUAUGAUUUUAAGUUGUUUGCUAUGGUAAAAACAGGCAUGAAAUCUAUGAAAUCUCACAAAUGAACUUUGAAGUGAGCAAAGAAACAACAGAAAAGGAAGGUAGGUUAUGACUUCAAUUCCCCAGGCUCUCAAUAUUUCUUCAAAGUUGAAUUAGCCCUUCCAGACUUCUACUGUGCUGGCUGGAAUUUUCAGCACAUAGUUGAGAAACUAUGGCAUGCAGUUGAUUCAAAGAUGAGGAAUAAGGGUAAAUCGUGAUCAAUAAAUGUCUCGAUAAUUGAUAGGAUGGAGCUGAUCACCUCAGAUUCUGACAGAUUCUUUUCUUUCCUUCUUUUUUUUUUUUCCCCCUUCAUGAAGAAGGAGAAAUAUGAUUGACCUCUCAGCCUUUGGAUAUCUUUAGAUGAAAGAAAGCAUAGAGGCUUUACUGUUCUUGCUGAUGACUGAAAUUCUAUUAUCCUGCUUUUUAUCUUUCAUCCGAGUUAUUGUUAUGAUCAUUCGAGUUAUGCUGUACUGUAAAACUAUGAAUAAAAUUUAUUUUCUUUUAUCCUGUGGCAUCAGGGUAAUCUGGGGUAGUAUGUACAAGAAAUAUGAUUGACCUCUCAGCCUUUGGAUCUCUCUCUCUCUCUCUCUCUCUCUCUCUCUAUAUAUAUAUAUAUAUAUAUAUUAUAUAUAUAAAGCAUAAAUUCGCCAAUCUCAAUCUACGGCCUAAAAAGAUUGUGAUCUGUGGAUUGAAGUCAGAAGAUAAGAAAUCAGUAGGACGGUACACAAUGCUCACCCGAGAGACUGUUGAGGGCAUGUUUUUAAUGCUUGAUGGGUGUACUACAGCGUAGAACACCAAAGCCCAAGUAGUUUUAAUUUAUUUGUACUCCCUGCUGUUUAUGGGGCCCUAAUUGCUAAAGAGCCCCAAAUAAGAGGCCCAAGUGAAAAUGCCCGUUUCACUUCGCCUCGAAUUCGAAUAAACGCGUUUCCGAAGGGCUCUUUUCGUGUCGAUUCGAUUUCAAACUAGGAGGUGUUGUUCUCUUUCAGGGCUCUACUUAAACCACCACAUGUCACCGUUCACAGUCGGAAUCUUCUCUAGCCUCCUCUCUCUCUGACUCUCUCUCUCUCUCUCUCGGGUCUCUCCUUUCCUUCCUAUUUGAGUCGUUAUAACCGCAUAAAAAAAUUAAAAAUUAAUAUUAAAGCACGCCAUCUCCCGGCGAAUCCGCUGAAUCCCAGCACACCUCUCCAUCUUAAAGAUUUCCCCCCUUUCGAAUCCCAAUCCCUCUCUCUCUCUCUCUCUCUCUCUCUCUCUCUCUUCCUUUUUUUCUUUCUCCGUUAAGUUUAACCUCUCAAACCCCAAAACCCCUCCCCAAAUCCCAAGACCCCGGAGAAGAACUCGGUCGGGACCAGUGGGAGGAGGACGACGGGGAGGGUUUGGAGAUGGCGAUGUCGACGGCGGCCGGGGGCGGCGGCGGAGGCGGAGGGAAGGGGCGGAGGGCGGCGGAGAUGAGGGUGGCGAUGGAGGAGAUGGCGAAGAAGCUGACGCUGUGGCACACCCGCACCUUCCGCCCCAUCCUCACCCACGACGAGCUCGAGCCCAUCAUGUCCUCCGUCGGCUUCGUCCCCCUCCCCGUCGCGCCGCCGCCGCCGCAGCCCCCUGCUCAGCCGUCGUCGGCGGUGGCGUGGAGGGAGUACGCUUUCCGCGCGGCGGCGCGGGGCGGGGGCUGGGCGCCGCCGCGUCCGCGCUUGCCGUAUCCGAGGGUCGACGGGCUCCACCUGAUGACGUACAAGGCCUUCUUCGUCGCCCUCGAGUUCUAUCUCGGCCCUCACCUAGUCCCCAACCUCUUCCACGUCAGGUACCCUCUCUCUCCCCCGCUCUCUCCACCCUCACCCACCCUCUGUAUCAUCAUUGUUCCUCGUUAUCUGGUGAUUCACGGAAAUGCCAUUGGCUUCUUCUGUACAAGUAGUCCCCACAGUUCAAGCCAGGUUGUUCCAAACCCCGCCGCGCAUUCGCCAUCGACCUCCUAAGUGUGGGGUCUGGGAUUUUUGGCCUUUACCAUAUCUUCCUCUUAACUAGAUUCCUGAAUUAAUGUGUUAAUGAUGUGAAGUAUCUACUAGUCAUAAAAACCUUUCAAUUUCUUAGUUUCGGUGGUUGGAUCAGGAACUACGAGCAACCCUAAAUUUUUUUUCUCGAAUUCCUGUUCUUGUUUGAUGAUUUUAUCUUUUCGUGUAUACUAAUUUGACGAGCUUAUAUACACCUCAACAUGGCACUCGGAUGGGACUUCCUCCGAUAUUAUCAAUUUUGAUUCUAAUUUUUUGGUUUUUCAACCAAUGAAGUUAUGGUUCUGAAAAUAGACCAGGUCUACCAGAGUAGUAUAUUUAAGGAUAAAUUUUAUAUUUUUCUUCGUCGCCAUGAAGAAGCUAUCUACUAGACCAGGUCCAAGCAACAACUUCUUUUGUAAGGAUUUCUCCGGCAUUAGAUUGUUUCAACUCUGUCUUAUUCCAACUGAAGAAGUUCCCGUCCACUUCUAACUUUAUCUCAUUGUUUACCGGCACUUCGGGGUUCACCUUUAAGAAUCAUUCAUUGUAUGUUAUUUUGUGAGGCGCACUAAGGGAUUUUAAUAAUAACUACAAGGGUCUAACAAUGCAGUGCCAGGCUAUGGUGGUUAUCGAAUGCGUGACCUCCUCUACAAAGGGAAGGGUGUUUUCCCACCAACUAAGGAUAACUUUUAGACAUUAAGAACAUAUCUACCUUUUUGUUUUGUUUUUGACUUUUUCAACAUAUCCAAAACAAGGAAAAGAAUGCCAAACAAUCUUUAUGUUAUGUUCCAAGAGAAAUACAUUAAUGGAAAAGGUGGUACAAAAGUGUACAUUCAUGAUAUUGUGACAUACUCCUUAAAAUUCUCACUGAGUCUCUGGACAUUCUUGCAGUAUGCAAUUGCAUCCCCGGCACUCAUUUGCUAUCCUAAAAUUCGAUAUCCAUAUUACAUUGUGGGCUCAACACUUGACUCCUCUUUUUUUUUUCUUUUGUUUAAGUGACUUCCCCUUUUUCAUUUGAAACUAAGCUGAAAUGGUUAGUUUUCAAGAAGUGGCUUACUGGCUCGUUAACUGCACGUGGCUUUAUAGACAUUCGGUAUUUUUAGUGGCAAACAGAAAUCGAGUCAUAUGUUAGAUUUCAGCAUUAAAUUGCUUAACCAGAAAUUUCUCCGUAGUAUUGUGAAAGUAUUGGGUUUAUUCAUAUAUACUACCCAAAUUAAGUCGUAGAAACUAUGAAUCAGGCAUGAUCAAUUUCAUAUUAUCUGAUUCUGGAUUCAAAUAAAGGAGGAAAGAGGAUGUGAUACCAAAAAUGCCAAUAUCGUUUAAAUGAUUGGGUGACCUGAACUUUGAGAGAGCUUAGAGAACUAAGUGACCUGCCUUAUCUGUUGAAUUCAUGCAUUUUGUAAGUACUUUCAGUGCUCUCUUCUAGGUUUGUCACAUCAAUAACAUUGAACUCUCGUAUGAUAUUUUUCCUGCCACCUCUUUCUACCUAGAAACAGAACCCAGAAAACACAUACAUAGGCUACUUAGUAGUCUCAAAUAUUUGGAUCUCUGCCACGUUAAAGAAAUUUAAACUUGAUUAGGAUAGUUCGUUGUUCCUCUUGGCCCUUAUUUGUGUGUUUUCUUCCUAACCUUGAGUUUGUGUCAGCGCUAGUUCUCACCUCAACAGUUCUUCUUUAUUCUUAUUUGCCUCCAUGUCCUUUGCAUAUGUAUGUGUUGGUGCUAGUUCUUACCUGAACUGUUCUUCUUUAUUCUUAUUCACCUCCAUCCUUUGCUUACAAAUGUGCUGAAAAGCAUUCUUCGUACUUGAUCAGAAACAUACUAGUCUGAUGUUACAUUUGUUCGUCAUUAUGACUGUUAUAUCAGUCACUGCUUGUACAGCUGUUAUAAUAGUUAUAAUAGUCUCCUGUUUAUUUAAGAAAACUAAUACUUUAUUGUUUUCCUUUCAAAAAUGAACUGAAUGGCCUCAUUGCUACAGUCCAUAUAUUAUCGUUUUUAGUUGUUCUUGUGGCAUGAACUUACAUAUCCUGAUUUCCUCUUAUUUUUUCACUGUAGUAAUAUGAGAGGGAUGCUUGGAGCACUGCUUCCUUGACUCUUUUCCUGUAUUUAAUCAUUUUCCUCUUCCUUCUUAACAAGCAGUGGUUUAAUGGCCUGAUAAGAACUAGUCUAAAGAAACCUUCUUGACCUCUGUGAAAAUUUCUGUUAAAUGACAGAGUAUUCUUUUGCAAAGACAGUUCAGAUGACAGUCUGAGAUAGAUCCUUUAUAUAAAUUAUCUGACCGAUUUUUUGGGGAAAUUCUGUUGUUCAGGGCCAUGCCGCUUUCUAGGGCAAAUGAUCUAGCUUUCGAUAAAGCCUAUCGACCCAUGAGAGACUGUGGGAUUGAGGAAGAUGGCAUAUUUGUCUAUCGUGAAGGCACUUUGGAUAACUUUACUAAGAUGGUAUGUUAUCACAGCAGCAGCAGUGAUGACAGCGUGAGCGCUAUGAGCACUACUACUAGCAACAAUGGCAGUGAAGCCUGCUACAAGAAAAACAGUAGCAACAGGGGAGAUGGCAACAAUGCUUCGAAUUUUAUCUCUUUAGUUCCCUUGAAAGAUCUGUUCCCAAGUACAGAUAUUGUUAGCUUGAGUUGAUUGUCGAGUUCAAUAAAGAUUAGGAUUCUGUUACUUGGAUAUCUUUUCUUCUUUUUUUUUUUUGGCCGUUGAUAUUUUUGCUGAGUUUUCAACUUUAUUUGAGUAGCUAUCGGUAGGGAAGGUUUUGCUCGCAUCAGGUUUUGAUUGGAGAAAUUUUUUGAGUUUAAUGAAGAGUGUAAUUUUAAGGCAGUGAACAGGUUCUUUAGAAUCUUCAUUGUAUAUCAUUAUAAUGUUGCUUUUUCCUUCUCCCCACAUGAUUAUCAUAGGAAAUUAAGGCAGCGAGCCUCUCGAUGUGGAUAUCCAUUCAUUUAACUUUUGACUUCUUGAUCCAUGAAAGUCUAACAUAAAUUUUUUAAGGUCAAUUUUAUAGCUGAGUCUUAAGAUCAUACCAAACUUGGAUAUUGGACUGACGGACUAGGAUAUUAGUACAAAAGGAUGCGAAAUUUUAUUAUGUGUUAUCCUGAUUUUAAUAGACAUUAUGUACCCUAAGCUGCCCUAUUGUAAUGUUUGAAGUGCAAUGCGCGUGUGGGGUCUUCUUCUCUUUUUUUUUUCCCUCUUUUCUGUGAUUAUAAUGUAGGGGUUGUUUAAUUUUAGCCUUUGUAAGAUUCUUGUGAUUUUCGCGACAACACAUUCUCUCCGAGCUAAAUUGCACUUUUGGCCCUAAAACUUUGGGUUUCGUGAAAUUUUGGUUCUCAAACUUUAAUUUAUAGUAAUUUUAGAUCAAGCUUUUUGAACUAUUAUAAUUUAUUAAGAUGCUACAUUACUAUAAUAUUAGUAAAAUAUUAGUAUUCAAUCGACUAAAUUGGACAGUAGGAUUUAACUGUAAUAAUUUAAAAAUAUUGAGCUGGAAACUGCAACAAAUUAAAUCUUGAUGACCAAAGUAUCACGAGCCGGGAGUUUGAGGACCAAAAGUGCAAUUUACCCUUGUAUGUGAGAGAUAAUACUUAUUCAAAGGAGUGAUGCUCACACAAGGCUCAAGCAGCUAUAUUUUUGCAUUGAAAGAGUCCCUAUAUUGACCCACAGUUAAAAAGGAAAUUACUUUAACGCAGGUUGCCAUUUGAGUUGUUGUCACUUGUUGACAUGUACAGAAACAAGGGAAAUACCUGCUGGCCUGGGCACAUUCAUGUCAUACGGCAGUGCGAAUAUACGAAUGACUUAACCUCGAAACUCCCAUACUUUACAAAGGUAUGUGAGAAUACUCAUGCAGGCAAAGAAUGCCAAACUAGAAUACCAAACUUGCAUCAGGGUCUAGUAUGUUCCACAUGGAUUUGCUCCUUUUCCCUUUAAUUUCUCUCUCUCUCUCUCUCUCUCUUUGUCCCUUUUUUCUUUUCUCCUUUUGUUUUACCAUUAUGCUUGCAAUCUCCAGACAUUCCUAACUGUACUUUUGUCUUCUUCUCCCACCUCCAAAGAUCCCAAAAGCCAUCUUGGACCGUCAACUCCCCAUUCCUCUUAACAAAGAAUUGUCUAUUCUUCAGUAUUUGCUACUUGAUCCAGUUUUUGAUUUGCGCCAUUUAAUUUGGAGUGAAAUCUUCCCUCGAGUACCUGCGGCACUCUUGUCAUCCGGGGGUCGCAUUUGAAUCUAUAAAACGAUAUUCGAUCUAAAGCCGCGAAAUCGUAAAGCAAGCGGACUCCUUUGCAAACUGGCCAAGCAUCUAUAUCUAUCUCUCUCUCUCUCUCUCUCUUUAGUUUCCUCAAAGCUAAGCCUUGAGAGUUGGGCUCAAAACCAUCUUCACUCCGACCCAGACCUCGAUCGAACCGUUUGCUUGUUUAUACCUACUCUGCUCUUUCCUUUGUAAAAAGCAAAGUGAAAGAAGAUCAUUCCUCAAGUGAUCUGUGGAAUCUAUGGACCCACUUUGUCCCCCUCAUCCUACCCUUCUCUUUUUCUCAUGACCACCUCCUGGUGGUACGUAGUUAUGUAGGCUAGCCCAGAUGUACUAUUUAUGCUUUCUCUCUUUGCUUGCUGAGUAUCGUUCAUAUAUUUGGCACAAGCUUUCAUGCCUCUUUGUUCUUCUCUUCUUCCUUCGUCGACUCCGAGCGCUAAUUUUCUCAUUCUUGAGUUUCUACAUGGAGGUAUGCCCUUAACUCUUCAAAUCCCUUAUGGUUUCCUUUAUAACAUAGAUUUUGUCCGAACCCGUCUCCUAUACUUUUGUUCUUGGCUACACAUUGAAUCGAUUUUAUCCAAAAAGCUAGCUACUUGAUGGAUUCUUGACUUUUGCAAGUUGUGUAGAAUGAGAUUAUGAAUAGAAGAGCCUACAUUCUUUAUCCUUCUUCCGCUUGUUACUAUCUCAAAGCUUCUAUAUGAAUUGCAAAUCUUAUGAUCCUCUUGAUUCCUGGUCUCCAUUGUUCCACCUCGUAGUGUUGUACUUCGACAAUGUCCUCUCUUUUAGAAACUUGCCUUUGGCAUAGAAUAGUAGACUCAUUUGCCUACAACUAGGAGAUACUCCGAAUGAUUGGUAUUACAAUAUUAUGCACUCAUUUAUUUAUAUUCAUGUUCCCUUAAUGAUGUAUCGACAGAAUAUUUUAGACAAAGCAGGGCCCCUACUCUUGACUAGUAAGGUGAUGAACAAGAUAAAUCACUCAAAUACGUUGCUACCAAUUUGAUCUAAGGUGUGAACUUAUUCAAAGUCAUCAAGCCAUUUGAGAAUUCACAAUAGGGUUCAAUAAAACUACUGGUGUUGGAAUGUCAAUUCAUGCCACCCUGUUACCUAGUUCUUUGGCCCACCAAUUUGUCUGUGUGCACCGAUGAUUCUUUGUUUUUGAAAAAAAAAAAAAAAUGUUUGGUAAAAAAAUGUAAUUUUUAAGCUAAUUAAGUUUCUUGUAAUGCCAAUAAUAACUAUGAGCUGCAGACUAUUGAGCUGAAGGUGGACAUGGUUGCACUGCAUGAGAAGAGAGUGAGGAAAUGCCUAUCUAAAGUAAAAGGUAAAAGUGACCUCCCAAGCACACCCUGGAAUAGUACUAUAACUUGUUGCUUACUCCUACCACUAUUUAAUUCCUUCUUUUGAUCUCUUCCACAUUAAAGAAAUACUUUGUAAUACACUCAAAAAAAAAAAAAAAAAAAAAACUUUGUAACAUUAUUUGUGAGGUUAUUACUAUUCACAGGGAUAGAGAAGGUUGAAGUAGAAGCAAGCAUUCAGAAGGUAACAGUCACAGGAUAUGCAAACAGGAACAAGAUACUCAAGGCCCUGAGAAGAGUGGGAUUGAGAGCAGAGUGUUGGUCUCCACAAAAUGAGAUACUCAGUGCCUAUGCAACUGGAACCCUAAUGUUCAACAACUUCAACUUCUUUUGAGAAACCCAAAAUAGUCGCAUGUCAAAUAAUACCUACCAUUUGUUUGGUUGUUUGUGUCGCCUUCUUCUUUUUAUGGUGUUUUGCGGAGUAACCUUGCAUAUGUUUGUGAUUAUAGUGUCAAAAGUUGAAAGUAAAAUGUUCUUUUCAAGCCAAAACUAUUUUGAUUUGUUGUGUUCAGAUGUGCAGAAGAUGUAAUAUACGGACUGUAUUGUAUUUUCUUCUCCGGAAAAGGUUAGGAUUUUAGAGGGGAAAGAGAGGAUGAUGAAUCAACAACAUUUUAUUAGUUUCUCGGUGUUUGUUGUGUUACGCAAAAUUCGUCAACAUAUAAAACAUGUUGACCAUGAAAACGGGAAGAAGAAAUUUGAGAGAAAAAGAAAAGAGAAGAAAACAAUAAGCACAUUUAAUUAUUAUUCCUCGCCUUAUAUGUGGACUUGUAAAAUAAAAAAAAAUGGCUCGGCUCUGAAGCCUAUAUUCUGGGUCUUUGAAGAGGGACCAAAGAUUUCACUGUAAUAAAAAAUUACAAGUGCUUUGGUCUGCUAGCUAGAGAAGAAAAUAACUAUAAAUAUUGUUGAUAUAUUUUCUUUCUAGUAAAAUUAUUCUAGCUCAACUCCACAUACUAGUCCCCGCCACCGACGCUUUCGUUCGUAGAAUGAUUUUGUAAAAGUGCUCUAGGUACCACAAAGACAUCAAGAAUUUGUGCGUCUCCUAAAAUAUAAAAUAACAUUAUCAUAACAUGCGCCAGAUAUUUACAUAACAGAUUAGCUGAAAACAUAAAAAUACAUUAGGCAUUGUAUAUUUGUAUUGUGCAUAUCUUCAAUCGCAAACUAUUGGACUGGGCUGGGCCUAUUCUUCAGCCCAUCUGGGCAGGCCCAGACAUUUUAGACCGGGCUCGGAGUCAUUGAGAGUAUAAUUCUGAACCAGGCCCGGCCCAGCCCGGCCUGCCCCGGCCCGAUUUUUCGUCGCAUGAACUCACCCCGUGUUCGCUCGUUCCUCGCCCGCUUCGACCUCUCCGUGUUGGAACUUGGAAGAAGCAGCAGAGGAGGAGGAAGGGAGGAAACGAGGGACGCUCUCGUGUGGAGCAUCAGGGUUCGACAUGGGGGAAUUAGAGGCUGAGAAGCACGUCCAAUACAUCCUCUCCGUCGAGAAGGUUAAUUAUUAUUAUUAUUAUUAUUAUUUUUCCCUUCGCAUCUCUUCUUUCUAUCUGAAAUCGUUGGUAGAGGAAGAAAAAAAAAAAAUUGUGAAUUUUCUCUCAGCGCAAGGACGAUUUCGAGUCCUUGCUGAUGGAGCAUCUCCGAAUCAACGGCGCGUAUUGGGGGCUCACCACUCUCGACCUGCUCCGCAAGAUCGAGGCAGUCGAUUCGGACGAGGUGGUGUCGUGGGUGAUGAGUUGCCAGGAUCAGGAUUGCGGUAAAUCCCCAAAUCAGUCCCAUCUCAGAGAAAACAGAAAACGAAAAAAAAAAAAAAAAAAUCAGAUUUUGGCCCCAAAAGAGCAAUUUUUAGGUUGUUUUGUUCUAAUUGGGAAGAGAAUCAUUACAUGGGGCGUGUUUGUGCUUUUUGUGUGUGUGUGUAUUUAAUUUACAGGUGGGUUCGGUGGGAAUGUUGGGCAUGAUGCGCACCUGCACUACACUCUCAGUGCUGUCCAGAUCUUACUUCUCUUCGACCGCCUCGAUAUUUUGGAUAUCGACAAGGUCUCGGAUUGUAUCCUUGUUUGUGGAUUAUAUGUCUUGGAAUCUGAGGAAGCUUUUUUAAUGUCUUUAGUGAAUUUUUGAUGAUCUGCAGCGGUUAAGUUUUGUGUGUAAUUUUGGAUUAAUCAAUAUUUCAAUAUUGCUUGGCAUAUAUGACAUCGAUAAACCCUAAACAGUGACUGAACCGUGAGAAUGCCAUCAGUAUAUUGAUCCAAGUUUUUAUUAGGCUUUUGACUUUCGUCUGGAGUUACUUUCGGCACUGACUAUGUUAAAAAAUAGGGUUCUGUGUUGAUGUUAUAUAGUUUACAUGUUGGAAUCUAAACUUGUUGAUCAAUGUAAGUGAUGGAGAAAAGCUAAUCACUAACGAUUCUUUCUCGAAUUCAUGCACAUCCACCAACAUAGGUAUUUCUGAUUUGAAAUUUAUGUAUGUAAACACAAUUUUUUUCACUUUGGUUGGAUGAUUCUUUAACUGUGGUUGGAUCUAAGCUCACCGAAUAUGUUACUGCCACAGCUCGUCAUUUUUACAUUCUUGUCUGUUAUUGUUGAACUGGCUUUCAUCGAGUUGUAACAGAAGUUUCAUCUAUUUUCCGCUUUUUUCAAUGUUGGUCAAUAAAGGAUUCAACUUUUUCUCUCUGUUGUUUCACUUAAAACACUUCAGACGUUGCCGGGCUACAGAAUGAAGAUGGGUCUUUUUCUGGCGAUAUCUGGGGUGAAGUUGACACUAGGUAAAGUGCUUUUGCUAUCAGAUUUCCCUUUUUGUUUUUCCACAGUUUCACAGCUUAUUCAGAAGCACUUAAUGCAGCACUCCUUGUCCAUAGGUUCUCAUACUGUGCAAUAUGCUGUCUCUCGUUACUGCAUCGUCUGGAUAAAAUUAAUGCGGAAAAGGCUGUAGAUUAUAUUGUGAGCUGCAAAAACUUGGAUGGUGGAUUUGGAUCUAUACCUGGAGGGGAGUCUCAUUCUGGGCAGAGUAUGUUCAACCUUGUUGUCACCUAAUUAAGAUAACACGUAGCAUGUUUCCGUUCUUUAGUUAACUAUGCACACUAGUACUAGCAGUUCAUGGUAUAUGUAAUCAGUGGGAUAGUUCGAUUAUUCGGAGAACCAACAGAAAUGACAAUAAUUAUUCAAAUGUUAGUUAAAUAUGUAGUCCCCUAUAUUUCAGACCCAAUUUCAGUUAUGGCUCCCCUUUUUGCAAAUUUGUUAAUGAAUUUUGACCUUGGUAACAGUUAAGACCUUGUCUCUACAGUCUGAAAAAAAAUACUAGCCAUAUAAGCAUUUAUCGCUAGAGUUUGAAUAAUAUGGCUGUUCUCUUGAGGUCUCAAUUUAUUGAUGAUCUCGACAUGGUGUUUUCCAUAGACGGCACGCUAGCGGAUCACUAUGCUCAAUGAACCUAUGGAUUGAAUUGUUAAAGAAUAAUACUGUGAGCAGGUGACUGAAAUCUGGAUCAAACUUGAGGAACUAGACUAGAACCGUUGUUAGAAAUUAUCAUUUUCUUCAUGUAUUCUUUUUCUGUUCUCCAGUACUUGUCAAUUUUCUAAAUAAAUUGGUUCAACAUUUAAAUGGCAGUCUUCUGCUGUGUUGGUGCUCUUGCAAUCACUGGUUCUCUGCAUCAUGUUGAUAGAGACCUCCUCGGCUGGUGGCUGUGCGAGCGCCAGUGUAAAGAUGGUGGACUAAAUGGCCGGCCCGAGAAGCUUGCUGAUGUGGGACCCUCUUUGAACCCUUAAAUUCGUAGGUAGAUCUUGAAGUUGCUUUCUCCAUUCUAUCAACUAAGACAAUUUCUAUCUUCUUAGGUUUGUUAUUCUUGGUGGGUCCUAUCAAGCUUGACAAUGAUCGACAGAGUGCACUGGAUCGAUAGGGAGAAGCUGGCUGCAUUCAUUUUAAACUGCCAGGUUGUUAAUUCCUCUUAUUACACCCAUUUUAGCAGCUGCUAAUUACAUCUGAACUGAACCUUCCGGAUUCUUUUUCCAACAUUUUUCGCGUAAUACAGGAUAGGGAAAAUGGAGGUAUUUCAGAUAGGCCAGAUAAUGCAGUAGAUGUUUUCCAUACCUACUUUGGGGUGGCAGGUACUAAAUUUCCUCAGUCUUUUUAAACUUUAUGUACUCAAGACUUGCACCAUGUCACGACGAUUUUUCCGUUCUUUUAGAUUAUUUUUGGUUCAUGCCUAAGGCCUAAUAAUAUGAAUUGUUAAAAACAGGGCUUUCUCUGCUGGAAUAUCCUGGACUGAAGCCUAUUGAUCCUGCCUAUGCCUUACCAGUUGAUGUUGUCAAUCGAAUCUUCUUUGGAAAAUAAUAAGUUCCCUUGUUGAUGAGCUCUCCUAUUAUUGUUCCCCCCUUAAAUGAGAAUAUGGGGAGCCUGUUGAUGCUAGAGAUAGUUGCAGUUCCUGUUUCCAGCCAACCAUUGACAUCCCUGCGACCCUGGAAUGUAUAGCCCAGGGUUAUAAUCAGGAUGGCAAGCACAAGAAAAUCCUCGGAAGAUCAAAAUAGGAUGUUAAACUAGCAAAUCAAUUGCUUUCGCCCUGUUAAUGAGAUUAUCAAACAUUUUCAGCCGAUGGUGGUUCCAAUCUUCUUUGGUUUGUUUCUAUUGUUUCCAAAUCAUGUCCUCCUGUAAGAGCCUUGCAGAGUACAGGUUUGCAUGGUAAGCGAAGAAAGAGUUGUUGAAUUUUAUAGAGAUUUUAUGUUCUGUCAGUGUACAUCCGCUCUAAUACUUUAGGCGAUCAAAAAAAUAAAAUCACUCAUUAUUCUUUUUCGUAAUGUUGGCGGAAACAGUCGCUUCUCUGCAGUUCCACCGCCAUUUCUGGGCAUCCGAGUCUCCAAUACUUUCCAAAAAUAGAGUAUUAGAGGAGCAAAAAUAAUAGUAAUAAAAUCACCAUAUGUGCUCUUCCUAGGAAUUUCAGAUAGAUACAAGUAACUACACGGAACAGAGACAUAAUGUUACUUGGAACGUUUCAAUACAACUGCUUCAGACGAGCAAUAACCAUCAUCCUACCUUAAUGAGCAAAGAAGAAAUACACCAUGGCUAGAAACAUACGAGCUAAAGUUUUCAUCUCCUUAAACACUAGAGCGAAAAAAGCGGCUACAAAGAUAAGGGAAGUCGCUGACUAUUCCCCAGCUAAAACAACAGCUAAAGUUUACAGAGAAAGAAGGAAAGGCGGCUUCUCGGUGCGCCGGAGAUGCCGACGAUCUAUAUGAGGUGAGGAGGGAUAAGUUAAUUAUUUCCAUGGCAUGCUGGAUAAUCCGUGCUGGCUGCUAUUAUUCAUUGUGCCGGUGCUUUGAUUGAGCGGGCUUCCCGGGCCACCGCCUGAGGAUUCACUCAGUGUGCCUCUCGAGGGCGGGCUACCGCCCCCUGCGGGCCCAACACCGCCGUAGGGGCUGGCAAACUUCCCAGGGGCAGACGCCGGUUCUGAAGGAUUACUCUGCUGCUUUGGCUCUUUCUUUCCAUCAGCUAUGAAGCUCCCUACUACGACCUGAAAAAUUAUAGCCAUCCAAGUCGAACCAUGAAGAUUAUAAAUUGUGCCAAGUUCUACGAAGACAAAUUGCAGGUUAUAAUGUGUAUUCCAUAAAAUGCUGCGUUUCAUCAGGGUAAGUAGUAACUAACAAGAAGCAACACCGUUUCCCAGAUCUUUCACAAAAGUAUAAAUAAAUACAAAGACAUGAAAAAAAGGAUUUCUGAGGGAAAAAGGCAGCUAAAACUUCCCUGAUAGAAAUAUAAUCAAAAUUAACAUCUAACAAAUUUCAACUAGAAAAUAAGGAACUAGAUAAAAAAACGAAUCUAGGGUUGAAUAAAAGAACAUGCAAAGAACAUGCAAAAGUCCAGUAUGAAUUAGCUCCAAAAUACAGAAGAAACAGACCUGGACAGGUGAUGCCGCAGUCAAAAGACCUGCAACUCCGCCCCCUAGGACACGGCCAUCCGGUCCCGCCAGUGAAACACUCAGCCCGCCUGUUCGACUACGCUGACCACCACUUUCCGAUAGAAGAAAUGAGCCCGACAACGACAAGAUCUCAAACCGGCCCUGCACAUGAAAUAUUGAAGAAACUAUAACAAUAGUAAACGCGGACAAUAAGUCUAUAACACCGCAUCCCCCCUUAAGCCCGAAAUCCUAAACAGUAGUAAACGCAGACAAAAGAAAAAAAACACAUUUCCAUCAUAAAAUACUAUGAAAUUCAACAAAAUAGGCAAUAGCUUUCAAGCAAAGGAAAAUUCUUGCCAUCAACUAAAAAGCAAAAGUUCAAAACAGAAGCUAUAAUUUUACAAUAAUGGAGAAUUUAAUAAAUGAAUGUGAUUUCAUCAGCAUCAGUUCAAAGCACAAACCUCAUAGGUUACAGUCCCACCAGAAGUUGCAGCUUGCCGAAGUGUAACAUUUGAUAUAGCACCAUUUGCUGAGAGAAUACAAACUGCACGUGGUCCAUGCUGAGAAAAUGACAUAAUCUUUGCCGAUACAUCCUGAAAAGAUGAGUCCGAGCAUUUUAUUAGCACAUUAUUUUUUUUGCAAGUACAUGAUCUAGAAGAGAGAAGUUGAAACUGAUAUACAAGAUAUAGAUUUAUUUCCAAAAUAAAUAGUAUCAACUGGGGAUAGCAUUAGCUUGGCUUAUAGAAGCAAAAACGUAGCCCCAAUUUAAAAUUGAGGAAAAGGUAGCUGCACUCCAGGGCAAGUUAAAAGUCACUAGGACACUAGCAUGUUUUUCUUUCCCCUUCUACUUAAACAAACAUGAAGGAAGAAAAAAAAAUAGAAGCUACAUACAAAGCUAGACACAUACAGAAGCCUUCAGUACUUGCGUGUCGCAGCAGAUUUCCCAACAUAAAAAAUAGUCUAAAACACUACACAUAUGAUUGGCAUACCUCUCCAGCCUUCACCGUAAUAACAUGGGGUGUAAAUCCAAUCCCAGCUGAUCCUGCAAAAUGUUUUACAGCAAAAGAUGAAAACUAUAAAGCCAUAAAUAGAUUCAUUAUUUCUUCAGGAAACUCUGCCACUAAUUAUGUAAUUCGAGGAAAUAGCAUGCAAUUAUCAAAACUCAGGAAAUUACAAGGCAGGGAGAGCAAAUUAAAGCCAAACUUUACGACAUCUCAAAAUCAGGACUUACCUAUAAGGUUGUAAACUGGGCAGAGAGAGAGAGAGAGAGAGAGAGAGAGAGAGAGAGAGGACCUACCAAUAUAGUUAUUUUACUAUAUUCUAUAACUAAGAAAUGAAGGCAACUAUUACCUGCGAGUUGGUAAAUCCAACACUACUAGUUUACUUUCAGAAGGAAGAAAGAAACCACACAAAAAGCCUAAGCUUUUUGUAUUGAUCCGAUAAAACAGAUCAAUAUAUUAUCUGUUCGAACAUGCAAUUAACACGUCAUUGCCAAUUAAGAAGAAAGCUUUAAACUUGCACUGCAGAUUCAUGCGUUCAACAACAAAACAGUAACAAACACUUUCGGGAAAACUUCGACAAACAAUUCAUUGGAUCUGUCAUUUAAUUCAGGUAACCAAUCCUGGAAAACGCCCAGCAUUCGCUAGUUAUAACAAGAAACCGAGGGCAUAAGGGUAAUUUCCUAGCAGUUCAUCCCUCCAUGCUGGAUCUACCAAGAAUACUCGAGGUUCCAGCUCAUCCAAACAAACAACUUGCUUUUAACCCCGCACUCUGACAACAGUAAACUCUCUCUUACAUUAUCAAAACCUCCUCUUUUUUCUUUUUUCUUUUUUCUCUUUUCAAAUAAUCAACCUACUGUAGUAAAAACACAUAAACAACUGCAUCAAAAAGAACCAUCCAACUCAUUAGCCAUGGCAUUUAAAAGGCAGCAAUCAUAAAUAGAUGAUGAUGAUGAGCAGGAGGAGGAGGUGGAGGGGGAUUACCCAAAGCUGCCAUCUGGCGCUUCCUGCCCGAACCUGGAGGCCUCCCCCUCACCUUCUUCAUCAAGCCCUGCGAGGCCGCCGCCGCCCCACCGGAGGACGGAGAGAACAUGCCACCGCCGCCCGGCGGAUGAGCCGCCGCGGCGGAUGUUACGGGAGCGGGGGCGAGAGCGAGAGCCAUGGCGCCGUCGGGCCCGUACUUCCUCGGCCUCCCGCGCUUCCGCUUCACCGGCUCUCCUCCUCCUCCUCCUCCUCCUCCCAUGUUGAUAGUGAGCCCGUGCGACGAGAGCGUCGGCGAGGUCCCGUCGCCGGCGGGGCCGUACAGCGGAGGCGACGGGGAGGAGGCCGUUGUGAUCGGCUUGUAGAUGGCCGUCCCAUCGGGGGCGUAGGCGAGCCGCAUGCUCUGCAUCGACGGCUGCGAUUGGAUGGGGCUUUUCUGCAUGGUCAUGUUGAAGGGUUCCCGACCCGACAUCAUCCCUUGCUCCGAUCUCACCUCCAUGAGCUCACACACUAGACUCUGCACACCAUUACCCAGCAAUUCCCACUCCAGGAAACCCUAACACCCGCGAUUUCCAAUCGCUUCCUUUUUUACGGAAAUUACAACAAAGAACAACGCAAGCGGCUACAGCAUCACAACCAGCAAUUUUACAGUACCCACAGUAACGAGGAGCAUGAAGGGGGACCAAAAAAAAAAAAAAAAAAAAAAANGCUAUGAUUAAAUUUGUUAAAGUAAUUAACUUAAGUUUUUAACUAAAAGAAUCAUUAAAUUACUUAAAUCAAAAAAACUAAAAUAUUGAAUAAUAAAAUCAAAAUUUUAAGAUGUUAGAUAAUAGAAUCAAAAUAGUUUAUACUUUAGAUAAGUUAUUUAUGUUUUUACCAAUAAUAUAUUGUAGUUGUAAUUUAGGGAAGGACAAAAAAAAAAAAAAAGAAAAAAAAGAAAAAAAAAUCCUAACCCGAGAACAAAAUUAACAAGAAAAAAUAUAAACCCUAAUUAAGACUAAGCACAAAAAUCAAAGAAAUUAGAGAUCUUCGUCUCUCAAAAAUUCCUUUUUUUUUCAAUUUUUACCAUAAAUUUUCCGAAAAUCACAGAAAUUUAGGAGAAAAGGCUGAGAAAAACGGAAAAAUCGAGAAAAAAGAAGGAAAAAAACAGAAGCUUUUGGUAAGAAAAAAAAGAAACCCUACCACCAUUUGUCGGAGAGCUACCCAAAGAGUCUCCAAAUACCACACACAAGCGGAGAAAUUAGGGCAAAUCCCAACCCCCAAAAUAUAUUUCUCCUCAACUUUUUAUAGAUUUUCUUUACACUCCUUUCUUUUUUCUAUUUUUUAUAUUAUAAGGAGGGGCUUUUAUUAAAAAUUGGGCGAGUAAAAAGGCAGCUAAAGCAGACCAAAUUUGCUUUCACACCCAUCAUAAUAAUAGAAAAUGAAAAGAGCCAUCAUAUAUUGUAAUGAAUUACAUUAAGACCCUCAGAUACUGUUUAAUUACCAGUUGCCAUCGUCCGGUCUGAGUAAUUUUCCUCUGUCUGAGGGACCAAAUUGUCUAUGUGAGGGACCAGAGUCACUAGCUCACUUCUUGGAUGUUACUUCUUUACGGAAAAGGAAAAGCAAAACAAAAAAAAAAAAUCACGAUGCUUGUAACAAAUGCAACCAUAAAGCUCUACUUAAAAUCAUGUGUAUCUCGAUCAAGCAGGUUUUCCUUCAAAAUUUCUAAUCAUUAUCUCUACAGCAGAAAUAUAUAUAUAUAUAUAUAUAAUCACAAUUUUUUAUUUUUAAAUCUAUAAUUAUGUUUCGAUUUUUAGUUGUUUGAAUGGUGACUAUUAUUUUAACAAUAUAGUUCGAAUUCUGCCCUUUUUUUUUGUACUCUUGAGAUUCAUACUGUCUCACUCUUGUAAUUUAAUUUAUCACUCUAAUGAAUAAAGCGGAUAGUAUGUUAUUUUUUAAAAAAAAUAAAAAAUCUACCCAACUUUAAGUUAUGAAACCGGAUUUCUCAAAUAAAUGAAACAUAUAUCAGAUUUAAAUCAGGAAAUUAAUGUUAUCACAUCCGACCCGGUUGACUUCUCGUAUUGGAUUCCGGCCGGGAUCCAUGAAAAAGAUGAGAAAGAAAGAUUAAGCAAGUCAUAUGAGAUCCCCACGAAAAUUAAUGUAAUAAUUUAAGUUUGUAGAGCGAGUGUGGUGGCAUCAUCCUUAUCUAUGCCACCUGUUAAGCUUUAAAACUUUAAUACAAAGCUAAAGGCUUUGACUGUUGUUUCAAACUUAUCAGGCCAAGUUGGUAGUCCAACCUAACAUCUCCUCGCUUUGUUGAAUAAUAAUACGCGUAUGAACGUAGCAAAUGUUCUCCCCAAAUUAAGCAAUUUGGUAAUCAUAAAUGCACAUUGAUGCGCAAGAGGAUUAAUAAUAACAAAUAAGUUUUGCUCUCUGUGAAUGAUUCCACGGCGACUAGUUUGUCGACAAAAAUGCAUUCCAUGUAAUUUAUUUCGCGAUGGAUACCUGACAAUAUUGAAUACUACAUGCCGUAAUAUAUUAUUGCGAGAGUCUGACUUUUUAGGCGUGACAUUAUUAUACUAGCGACCACCAAGCUUAUCCUAUAAAUAAGUAUGUUUAUACUAGGAGCACCAAGCUUAUCCCAUAAAUAAGUAUAUUUAUACCGGUAUAAAGUAUACUAUUUAAUAGUUCUUUUAUUUUAUUUUAUGUAUGUAUACAUAUAUAUAUAUAUAUUGGCACGAAUAGUGCCACACAUGCAUUCCCGAGAGAGAGAGAAAAACCCCACUCGCUCGAUCUAAUAAUAAUAAUAAUAAUAAUAAUAAUAAUUCAGAUGAUGGAGUGGAAUCUUUUGGGCAGCUGAGAAAAGGACGAGAGUUAAACAAGUCUUUAGCAAAAGCCUCGGAAAUCAAUAGAUUGGAGGAAAAAGAAGUAAAGGGCGGGGGAAAAUCAAAGGCUUAUCCUGGGAAAAAGUCACGCGUAGGUGCUCGCCCCCUCUCGGUUAGGUACCAAACCACGAACAAAAAGAUACCAUACCCGGAUAUAUACCCCUCACCUAUCCAAAUUAAUUUUUUUUUAAAAAAAAAUCAAAUUAAAAUAAAUAAAUAAAUAAAUUAUAGAGAAAAUACUUUCCUAUAUUUUUCAGCCUACAGCUCAGUUACCCUUUUUUAAUUCAGUUUAAUAUUUCUUUCUUACUUUUACAAAGUUUUAAAAUUUGAGAUAUUUUAUAGUUUUUUUAGAUUGAAAGUUUUACCGAAAUAAAUUGAUGAAUGAGACUAGCUAAGAUCCGAAUUAAUAUUGUAUUUAAUUUUUACAUCAAAGUAACAUUUUAAAAUAAAUAAAAUAAGUUGGCAGAAAUUAAAAUUAAUAUAAUUAUAUAUAUAUACAGGCAUUUUAAAAUUUUUAUUAUUAUAUAUAUAUAUAUUAGUUAGGUAAUAUACCAACAAUUUUUUAAUACAAAUAUCAUCAUUAUCAUAUAUAUAUAUAUAUUGCAUGGCCACAAAGCAUUUGCUUUUGAUAAUUUAACCGGGAAAUAAACCGUUCUAAUUAAAUUAGACAAACAUAUUCCCGGUUAGAUAUGAUGGACGCGAUGUUUGGCCAGUUGGGGGGUUGGGGUGUUUGCUUACGUGUAAAUCAUUUUCAAUUUUCGCUCGUUAAAGAAAUGGGUGGGAAAAGCAUGGGAUUUGACGUCCAAUGGGAGAAGACAAGUGCCCAUGUGACACCCCACCCCCCUCUCGUCUUUCAUCAUCUCAUGAGCUACUCCGGUUGGUCCUACAAACGACAUUAUCAUCCUUUGCUUUUUCUCUUUCUUUUUUUCUUUCUUUCUUUCUUUUGAGUUCCCCUGUUCAAAAUAAAAGGUCUGUUUGGCUUUAGCCUUUAGCUGUAGGUGCUUUGCAUCAGUUCCUCAAGCGCAAAAAAAAUAAAAUAAAAUAAAUAAAUAAAUACUACCAGUUUUAUUAAUAAAAUAAUUUCAGAAAAAAUAAAAUAAAUUUUUCAACACCCGCCAUCCCUUUAAUACAAAUGAUAAAAAAUUAAUAAUUGACAUUUGAGAUCUCAAUUUUGAAAUAUAGUUACUUCACACUUUUAUCUAAGUUUAUUUUUAAAAUAAUAAAUAAAGCGGAUAAUUUUUUUUUUCUAAAAAAAUUCAACAAAAGCAAAAACAGGAAUUUUUUUUAAAAAAAAAAAAAUUUGAGUGAGGGGGGGCGGCGGGGGGAGGGGCGGGAAAUUUAACCAGCCAAAGUUUCGCUUUCGAGGCCAAGAAGACUACUCUGAUAACUUCUUUUGGGUUCCCGAAUCUUUUGUUAUCAUGAAAACCCUUCUUGAGCCCUUACAAGGCUUGACUUCUUGAGAAUUUUCUUUUCCUUCCCAGAAAGUCCCCCAGUCGAAGAGAAGAGAAGAAAGAACACGCCCGCCCUAACUGCGCAUUAAUACCCGACAAAAUAUAUCUACGUGACCAAACAGUUACCGUCAAUCUUUUACAUUUAUAUAUUCACGUGAUUGAGAGACUUCAACAAUCAGCAAGCUAGUUUUGUGAGGUUUUUAUAUAAAUUAUUACACUUCCCGGAGGAGUCAACGAGAAGGCUUUCAACGGAAUGAAAACAACUUUUUUUAAAAAAAAAUAAGUACAAUACUUUGUAAUCUUCCUUGCAGCAGCAAAUUAAAAGAUCCGGAAACAGAACUUGAGAAAAGCUGAAGACGUUCAAUGUAGCGGGGAGAGAGAGACGCAAACAAAUAUAUAUAUAUAUAUGCACCUCUCUCUUGGCCAAUGUAUGUACGGAAUGCACGGCAUCCCUUCCUUUCUGGUGCGCUGCAGCCUGCAGGGUGAUGAGUGAGAAAGCCGACAAGCUUGACAAAUCCCCAGUGCCAUUUACGGGCAAAACCCGAAGUUCAGGAAGUUUGUAUAGGUCGGCACAGUGUAAUUUUUUGCCGCUUGAAUCAACUCGUAUGGGCUAGCUCAAGAACAAUCGUAUGGGAAUUGACUCGCCUGCGGAUUAGCUCAGAUGGAGGGCGAUAUAAUGCUUUAUAGAACAGCUUUAAAUUAUCAAAUGUAACUGUUUCCAUAAAUUCUCUACUAGCUUUCUACGUACACAAGCCUCAAACUAGCUUAGACCUUGCGCUUAAGAAGCUUCGUCAAAACGUUGCAGGAGCUUAGGUCAAUAAAGUAAUCACUCUCAGGUCCUUAGAAUGCUGCAGCAAAGUGACAUAAAUCGGAAUAGAAAAAUUAAUGGCAACUUCGGGGGACGUAAAAGAAGGCAAACUUCCACCACAGUUUAAAGACCAGAUGGGCAUGAAUGCAGAAUAAUUUAAAGCACAAGUCCAAAAUGAGAUAACUUUGACAGGAGCACCAUCCACCUGUUCAAACUUGGCUAGUGUUUCAGUCUCAACUUAAGUAUUAGGCCCCAACCCAAGCAGAUUCCCGACGUCUGAUCUCGAGCUCCAUGUUUUUUACUCAACAGAAGAACUAAAUGAUCACGCGUACGCUCCAUGAAACAAGCUAUACCAUUACUCACGGCCAUUAGCAAAGAAAUCAAGUAGAGUACAUCGAUCAUUUAUAUUAUGCUGUUUUAGUGUAAAUGCACGACAUACAGGAGACAUUGAUUAUGUGAAGUCCUGCUCUAAUCAAACCAUAAGAGAACACGAGGAUGCCAAAUAAAAACUUUGAAGUUCAACAUAGUUGACAAAACAGUUACAAAAGAGUUAACACAACUCCCACAAUAUAUUGUCUACUUCUGUACAAAAACAAUUUUCCAAUUACACAAGCAAUUUCCCAAGAAGGAAUUUGCUCUUAGACCACUUCAAUGCAAUCCUAGAUGAACUGUGAUGCAAUUCCGUAAUAUACAAUACAUAAUUUUACUGAGAAAUCACAAUAAGUUUCUUAAAGAAACCUCAAGAUGAUUCAAUUCCAUCCCAGAUCAGAUAGCUGAUCAACAGCCCCGGUCAGAAAUUCAACAGAAAAGGAAGUCACUAUCACCAUGGAAUGCUUAAGAGCUGUGAUGUUGUUCAGCUAUUAAUUAGCUUCGAAUUAGAAAAAAUGAAACUAACCAAGAGCAUCGAUAUUGAUAUAAUGAUGUAGGUAAGCAGAAUGAAUGUGUUAAGAAGCAACUAUGGAAGGAAGAGGAUUCUAGGUCAAAUGUCUCAACUUGCAAUAGACGGAAAGUAGAUUAGUUCCAACUUAAAUCUUUCACCAAGGGCCUAUUUGUUUCAAUGUAAGUAGACUUCAAGUUAAAGUAGACCUUAGUUUGAACUAGAGUUCAGGUGACAAUUACUUCACCUCCGCUGUUUGUUUCUAAUUGUGGAAGUGAAAUUCUAUUGUUUGUUUGGCAGAAAAUGAAUAACGUAAAAAGUGCAGUUCUCCACUUCCUCUCUUUGUUUCAUCGAAAAUUAUUCAUUCCCCUCACCCUGGUAAAGUUACCUCCUACAUGAUACUUUUGUCUCUUUUCUAACUUAAUAAAUAAUAAAUUACAAUAAAUAAAAAAAUAAUGUAAUUAUAUUUCUAUACAAUUAUAAAAUGAAAUUUAAAAUAAUUAUAUUAAUUUUUUGUAUAUAAAUUAUAAUAAUGCAACAAAUAAAAUUCUAAAGUUAAAGAAUUAUUAACAUUUAACAUAUUAAUUUUCAUCGCUUUUUAAGUGUGCAAAUUAAAUAAAAGAUAUAUCGAAACUUAACUAACCAAACUUCGUCAUAUUUAAUACAUGCAAUCUAAAUAAAAAAUUAAUUACUUCUAUAAUUAAAUAUAUUUGGAUGAAAUACAACUAGCAUUACUCAAAAUAUCACCCCAUGAGAGAGUAACCCUAAACAUCACCAUAAUUAAGUUCCCAUUAUCCUUUCCUUCAGUCCACCGGAAUUGACUUCGUCUCAUGGAAGAGCGAAAUCAAUUUUGGUGUUUUGGAUGAACUGGACUUUCGACCGUGGUAAUAUUACGAUGAACCAAACAACAGAAGCAAUCAGUUUUCGUCGAAAAUCACUCCCCCCUCCCCAAACAAACAGGCCCCAAAAGUCUAAAGACUCUUGUUGAAUGCAGUAACCUUCCAAGUCAGCAAGGGACAGCAUUCGAUCAAUGAAAACAAACAAAGGAAAAUGAGCAGAUGAUUGGAUGAAUUAGUCAAGGUAAAUCAAGACUUAUGCAGAAAUCCUGAUAUUCCACAAUGUGGCCGGCAUAGUUUCGACUGAAUAUCACCUUUAAAAUGUACCUACAAGAUCAAAUGGAUUAAUUAAUUCAGGAACAGGAUAUUGAAGAUUAUAUGCUCAUUGACCAUGUUACAGGAAAAUAUUUUUGUUUAAAUAGUUAAAAGCCAACGAAAAAGACCAUGUUAAAAUAUAAGCCAAAACCAAGUAGCACAAAGUGCUUUGAUCUGCUUGAUAGGUCUCCACUCUAAAAAUAAGGAUUAAAAAUUUACCAUCACUCAUGUGAAUAUAUACAUCUACAUGUCUUAGUUAACAAGAAAUUGUGCCGAUUUACAUAGGUAUUUGCAAAGCUGCUCUAGCUGCAAAUUCCAACAGCCACACAGAGUCCAAACUGGGAACACUCCCAAUAAUUAGCUUUGGUACAAAGAAAUGGGUUCACACAAGUACUUGAUUCAUCAUGGACUGACAUCAGUUUUCUUGUUUGUAAGAGAAUUAGCUAAAAUUGAUUGCAGGAAUGCAGGAUAUUGGAUCAGACUGUAAACCACAAGUAAAUUUCUAAUUGUGACCACCUUGUUUUUCCAUGAGAUAAUACACUACCAAAUGCAGAGAUAUUACCACUGCACCAUUAUGGAGCAGCUACCCCCAGGAUAAAAGUAUUUUUUAAUUUCCUUUUAAUACCAAAAUGGCUUUUGCCUAUUGUAUAAAAAGUCGUGUACUAAACAACAUCAUAUCGGAAACUAUGCUACAUAUAACAUUAACAAUAUAAGACUUCACGCAUCAGCUAAUAGGGCUACAGUCCAUAUCUAGCCUGACAGAGCGUGCAGAAGUUGCUUGAAUGAAGAAAAGAGAACUUAUUGGGCGAGAAAACAAAAAAUUGUGUUUUUCUUGUAUACAAUAGCAGUCUGUCACCACGUGCAAGCACAUAAUAUUCUGAAACAUCAGCUUAGGUGGUCGCGUACCAAUCAACUGUUUCUGCUCACAAGAGAAUAUGCAAUCUAUAUCAGAUUAAAGAAGAUUAAAAAAUUUGAGAGCUUGAACAUUAAGCAUAUGACAAUCUUUCCAUAGAACGCUAGUAGAAAUUUACCUGCUUUCAAAUUUUACCAUCAGAAAAUGUGAUUGAGAUGUUACAUGGUGGCUUGAAUGCCCCGAUAAUAUAAUUUUGAAAUGGAUAAUGUACCGUCUUAUGUAACGACAACAGAUAAUACAGAAAAUCCAUUAUAAGCUAUGUAGACAUGAAGACAAAAGUACCCAAAAAAUUAUCAACAUGUUUAUAUCACGCAGUAGAUAAGAGAGGGAGAUAUUUACAUGCAAGGGCAAACAGGCUAUAAUUUAUAGAAUAUUAAUUGAAUAAUGAUGGAAAAUGAGCUAGAUAGAGAACUAUUCGCAAGCACAAAAUCUGAUUAGUUCUUCUUUGUUCAAGAAUUAGUGCUGCGCUUGCAAUCUCCAGAAGUAAAGGAAGCAAGAAUUUGAACAGAGAGAAAAAUAUCAUUCUGCUCUAUUGGAGUACUACUACUGCACUUUGCAAUGACUUAAAAGAAAAGCUAAAACUUGCUUUCGCGUAGUACAAACAGCGGCUUGAUUAGACUCAAACAGUGUAUAGCAGACAGAUUUAUUGAAGAUGAACACAGCUCGCGCUGGUUUACGUAUGAUAGCCACCGCAAGAGAGCAACGCCAUAUGUCGCUGCCUAUUCUUUUACUGAACGGCUAUUAAAUUGACCAAUACAAUAUGUAGUUAUGGCACUAAAUCAAAUAAUGUAAAUCUAACACAUCAUCAAUGUGAAUUUCAUUAGAAUAAAAAAAAAAAAAGAUCAUCUGGAGAAAUAAGCAGAACAAACAUAAUGCCAAGCACUCAAUCAAGAGGAACGCAUAGAAUCAUCAGACGAAUAACAAUGCAAACUGAUUCACCAAGUUUAACACCAACUCCACCUAAUCUGUGAGAAGUUAACAACAUGGAAGAGAUUCCACCGAUUGCACCUAAUCUUGCGAGAAAUUAACAGCAGCAAGAAGAGAGAGAGAGAGAGAGAGAGAGAGAGAGAGAGAGAGAGAGUCACCAUGCUUUUCGUGCUACAUUGAAGAAUCAAAGCCCGCGAGACUGCAUCAAGAAACAAUGCCCAAGCAAUCAACAAUCUCUCGCUUCAAGAAAUGUAGAUUAGAUCCAAGAAUAGCUUCGAUCAUUGGCGGGAGACGUUGAAAUCCCCAACCCCCAAUGCCCAAAUUGAAAUAAAAGAAUUGUGGGGAGUGGGAGUCGACGAAGAAGGGAAUACGAAAGCAGCAGGCGAUGGAGAUUGGAGGGGAGGUGUAAAACAGGUUCGUUUCUUUCUUGUUCUCACCUGGUCGCUUGGGCUCUCCUCCAUUGUGCGAUCGACCAGCUUUUGAACGGACGGGAUCUACGCCUUGAAAACGUGGACGGCUAAGAAUGGAGCGUAAAACCUCUUUACAUUUGUCCCCUGGAAAUUUAGUUACAUACUUACAUCAGCGCUGCAGCCCGGAGGAAUUAAAAUGUUAUUGUUAAGGGCCUGUUUGGUUACCUAUAAAAUGGCCCGGGAAAAAAAACUUCAAUGAAAAAUUACAAUUUUGAGCGUUUGUUUGUCCGUAAAAAUUUUAUUUUGAAAAUUUUUUUUUACGACUACGAGGAAAACGAAGGUUUAACAAUUUUUCGCGGCUUAAAAAAGGCGGGAUUCACAGGUGCGCAGUCCACCAGGCGCACUCUACCUCGUGGACCACGAGAAAGAGGUCUACUGGGUGGGGUGACCUCCCUCCCCCAUCUUUAUUUAUAUAUAUAUAUAUAUAUAUAUAUAUAUAGUAUGGCUAGAAUACUUUUACAAGUAUCACCCAAGUGAUACUUGUGUGUUUUUAGCCAUUGGAUCUACUUUUUGAUUACUAAUAGGCCUUGGAUCAAACACUAUUCCACCUACCACCACCUACCACUAUCAUCUCAACCUCACAUCUCUCCAUCCAAGGGCUAAAAACACACAAGUAUCACCCCCAUGAUACUUUUACAAGUAUUCUAGCCCUACUCAUAUAUAUAUAU
rnacentral:lncRNA from 1 species